CAUCCUCCCACCUCCUUUAUCUCAUGUCCACCACCCCACCUCCUACCCUGACAAAUUCAACCACUGCCUGCGUCUCCCAUCCUCCCACCCUAAAAAUCUGCCAAACAGUGACGGCUAUCAAUCAAAGUCCUCCAAGUCAAAGAACCCAGAUCUUAUCCCUGUGAAGUCAUAUCUCUUACCUCAAAUUCAUUAAAUAUUGUCAGCGUGAAUCCCUUCUUCUCCUGUUUCUCUGGCUUGAGGGCCUAAAAGUCUCACCCUCUCCACUGUUAACUUGGAGGAGAGGAUAACAAGUUCAUGUUCAUCCCUCAUUCCUUUCAAAUCAUCUUGAAAAUGGGGUAAAUCCCUAUCUUUACUCUAUUUUCUUUAAAAAACCUAUGGAUUGUCCUAUCAACAAUUUGAAUUUGAAUUUGAAUUCAAUUUGAAGCCUCAUUGAGAAGCUCUCACACUCCAGAGUGUGUUUAUAAAAGGGGCUACAUCCAUACCUUUAGGGACAGGAGAAAAAAUUGGGGAAAAGAAGAAAGAGUCAGGAGAAAAGAAAAAAAAGAUUUGGAAAAGGGGCUUCAGAAAGCAGAGAAGAAAAGAAUUGGAGGAAGAAGCAAAAUUUUGUGAGGAAAUCUCUGAGUUCGGAGUCCUGAUCGAGUUCGUCGCUGGAAAAUUCUUGACGCAGAAACUCCAGUUCUGCUACCAUAGAAAAGGUACAGAUUUUGUCCUUUCAUCUCCCUUUUCCUUCGUUUGAGUUCAUAAGCAUAUGUUUAGUGCAGAUAAUGUAAAAUCUCACAUUGAUGUGAUUGAAAUAAAUGAGUUUCGAUCAAACUCCAAGUUGUUGUUAAUAUCAAAGACUAGGCCUAAAUUUGGUUGUAUAUCAAUUUUACGUUGUUGUUAUCUCUGAAAUUAGUUUUGAAGGUGAGUGUUUAAUUUUUGAUUCAAUUAGUUCUAAAAAUUGGAUGUAAAAUGCAAAGUAUGCUGCUUUUGAUGCUAGAAAUUGAUUCAUGUAUGAAUAUGCAAUUUUUCUUUCUUAUCAUUUGACUAAGAUGUUGUUUUCGGGAAAAGAAGUUCAUGAAUUUGGCUUCACUUUUUUUUUAUUUUCUUUUGAAUAAGUUAGUGCUAGAAAGCUUCGGAAAUUGAGAAAUUAGCCUUAUGGUUCACUAUUGCCUACCCCUUUUCCAGUCAUGUUGAUAUUGUCAUUUGUUUAGCUUAAAUGGUGUUAUGGAAACUAAUUUCCUGUUUGAUGUCGAUUUCUUAUCGCAAUUUUGUGAAAGGACCCCCUACUUUGUGCUACUUUUAGCCAAGAUGUGAAGCCAUCUAAAUGAUAUUUUGAUUCCACUGGUCAUUUUAGGGGCUGCCACGAAUACCCCAAAAUUAUCGUGUUCAUAAGCUUUGGGUUUGUUUAGUAUCAAUAACAAGGUUAAAAAUUUGUCACUAUAAGGGAUUUCGUAUACUCCUAGAAUGUACCUUAACUUGGAAAGAAUCGUCCCGUUUAUGUGGAAUGUUAAGGUUUGGUUUGAGGAUAGCUCUCUGUUUUGCUUGUUUUUUUGAAUUAAAAAAAAAAACCUUAGAGUAUUCUGGUUACUCACCAUUUUUUAUUUUAGGUGUGAAACAUUUUAAGAUCAAUGGGGCUACUUUCUUCCAUCGCCUUCGCAUUAAUUGCCCCGCAAGAAGUAGUUUCUUUUUAACUUUGCUAUUUGAUUAUAAAUUUUCUUGAAUCAUUAUGUUGUCCAUGGUGUGCGGUGUCUUAUACGAGUUAGACAUUACUAUGUGUCAUGUCUAUUAAGAUAGUUUCCAGUGAUUUGAAAUUAGCAAUAUAUGAAUUACUUUUAAGGAAAAGGGGUCUUGUGAAUACAUGUAAGGGUAAAACGUAUCCCGCUUUAAUUACCUGAUUCUUAUUCUAGCUUUAUAUUUCACUGGUCGUGUUUGAUCUGGUGGUUAUCCAAUCUAGUUGAUUUGUUUUGGUUACGAAAAUAUGAAAUAAAAAAUAUCCUUUGAUCGUUCACUUUGCUUACCCAUGAUUAAGUGUCAGUCAAAUGUUUACAACUUGUGGACUAUCCUUGAGCAAGUUCUGCGAGGUUCACAGCUGGUGUCCGGUUGGUGGCUUGUGAAGAUCAGUGUUGUGACUGUUUGGAUGUUUCAAGACAUAACAAUAGACUUUGAUUUCCUUGCUUUCCAGCUGUGCCCUUAAUAGGCGUUUGCUGCCUCGGGUUUUGCAUCCAAAGGGAUCCAAGAUGCUAAAAACUUUAUGCAUGGUGGUUGUUCAUCAUGAAGUCUUUGCGACUUUUUACUUGAAUACUAGAACAUGGCUUUAGUUGCUUAAAGCGUCUCGGUCCAGCUGUGCGCCUCAUUGAAUUCUCAACCUCUAAUUUAACAUGAAAAGAGGCUCCGAGAGUUUAAGAUUUGAAAUUUGAUUCAUACAAAUUUUUGCAGGUUAAUGCAACUUGGUUCUAUAGCAUGAACAUGAUCAUAAGUUUUAACCAGGUCUUUUAUAUUCUUUUUUGAAGUGUCAUCUAUUUUGUUUCUUUUGUUAUUGUGUCAUUAAAUCGGCUUUAAGCCUUGAGUUCCAAGCCAUAGUUACGCAACAGCUCAUCCUUUCUCGCAAGCAUCCACUAUUCAUUUCUUUGUUGGGUUUUGAUUUUAUUAUUUGUGCGAUUCAAGUUUGAAAUUCUCCGAAUUUGAGAGUCAACUCAUGGUUGAGAAUAUCCCAGUGAAUUGCUCUGCGAAGGGUUAAUAUCCUUCAAAUUCCUAGAGAUAAUGUAGUCUUUUGAAUGAUAUUUUGUCCUCGUUUGAUUUAUUUUCUUNNNNNNNNNNNNNNNNNNNNNNNNNNNNNNNNNNNNNNNNNNNNNNNNNNNNNNNNNNNNNNNNNNNNNNNNNNNNNNNNNNNNNNNNNNNNNNNNNNNNNNNNNNNNNNNNNNNNNNNNNNNNNNNNNNNNNNNNNNNNNNNNNNNNNNNNNNNNNNNNNNNNNNNNNNNNNNNNNNNNNNNNNNNNNNNNNNNNNNNNNNNNNNNNNNNNNNNNNNNNNNNNNNNNNNNNNNNNNNNNNNNNNNNNNNNNNNNNNNNNNNNNNNNNNNNNNNNNNNNNNNNNNNNNNNNNNNNNNNNNNNNNNNNNNNNNNNNNNNNNNNNNNNNNNNNNNNNNNNNNNNNNNNNNNNNNNNNNNNNNNNNNNNNNNNNNNNNNNNNNNNNNNNNNNNNNNNNNNNNNNNNNNNNNNNNNNNNNNNNNNNNNNNNNNNNNNNNNNNNNNNNNNNNNNNNNNNNNNNNNNNNNNNNNNNNNNNNNNNNNNNNNNNNNNNNNNNNNNNNNNNNNNNNNNNNNNNNNNNNNNNNNNNNNNNNNNNNNNNNNNNNNNNNNNNNNNNNNNNNNNNNAUUAAAUAUAAUCAAGUAUUUUAACAUCAAAAUCACAAAAAAUAUCUUGUGGUAAUCGCAUUUACAUUCUUUCUAAUUUUAUCCUUUAGGCGAUAUUAUGAUCAUAUAUAUAUAUAUGCAUAUUUUUAUAUAAAAUAAAUAUUUUAUUUUAUAUUAUAUAUUCUUAUAUAUAUUAUUAAUAUUAAAUUUAAAGAAAAAAAGAUAAUUAAAUUAUAUGCUUAUACAUGUUACGCCUAUAAUUUAUAUACGUUUAAACAAAAAAUAAUUUUAGGAUAGCAGGGAGCAUCGAUAAAAUUAAUUUCAGUGGAAAAGAAUAUUCAGGCCAACAAUCCAGUUUUAAUUUUAUUUCACCCGACUAGCAUAGACUGAUUUAGUUCGUUAAUUCUUCUUCCCAAUCCGAGGGUCCUAAUUUUUAAUUGUUUAUAUAUAUUAAUAUUAUAGUUUGUUUUUAUUUUAAAUACAAACUGUUUCGAUCAAAAUCGAAUAGAUCAAAAAUAAAUAAUUUUAAAUCAACAUUUUCCUUAAAUUUAUCCAUAUAUAUACAUAUGGAUAUUUAUAUAUACUGUAUAUACAACUUUUGUUUUAUAUUAAUUAUAAGAUAUUUAUUUUUAACCAUCCAAACAAAUGAUCGAACGGACCAGAUUCUGAUCAACAACCAGUACAAAAAGCACCUAUUCUCUUUGAAAAAAAGAAAGGACCAAGCACGUGCCUCUUAUCUCAUCCUCCCACCUCCUUUAUCUCAUGUCCACCACCCCACCUCCUACCCUGACAAAUUCAACCACUGCCUGCGUCUCCCAUCCUCCCACCCUAAAAAUCUGCCAAACAGUGACGGCUAUCAAUCAAAGUCCUCCAAGUCAAAGAACCCAGAUCUUAUCCCUGUGAAGUCAUAUCUCUUACCUCAAAUUCAUUAAAUAUUGUCAGCGUGAAUCCCUUCUUCUCCUGUUUCUCUGGCUUGAGGGCCUAAAAGUCUCACCCUCUCCACUGUUAACUUGGAGGAGAGGAUAACAAGUUCAUGUUCAUCCCUCAUUCCUUUCAAAUCAUCUUGAAAAUGGGGUAAAUCCCUAUCUUUACUCUAUUUUCUUUAAAAAACCUAUGGAUUGUCCUAUCAACAAUUUGAAUUUGAAUUUGAAUUCAAUUUGAAGCCUCAUUGAGAAGCUCUCACACUCCAGAGUGUGUUUAUAAAAGGGGCUACAUCCAUACCUUUAGGGACAGGAGAAAAAAUUGGGGAAAAGAAGAAAGAGUCAGGAGAAAAGAAAAAAAAGAUUUGGAAAAGGGGCUUCAGAAAGCAGAGAAGAAAAGAAUUGGAGGAAGAAGCAAAAUUUUGUGAGGAAAUCUCUGAGUUCGGAGUCCUGAUCGAGUUCGUCGCUGGAAAAUUCUUGACGCAGAAACUCCAGUUCUGCUACCAUAGAAAAGGUACAGAUUUUGUCCUUUCAUCUCCCUUUUCCUUCGUUUGAGUUCAUAAGCAUAUGUUUAGUGCAGAUAAUGUAAAAUCUCACAUUGAUGUGAUUGAAAUAAAUGAGUUUCGAUCAAACUCCAAGUUGUUGUUAAUAUCAAAGACUAGGCCUAAAUUUGGUUGUAUAUCAAUUUUACGUUGUUGUUAUCUCUGAAAUUAGUUUUGAAGGUGAGUGUUUAAUUUUUGAUUCAAUUAGUUCUAAAAAUUGGAUGUAAAAUGCAAAGUAUGCUGCUUUUGAUGCUAGAAAUUGAUUCAUGUAUGAAUAUGCAAUUUUUCUUUCUUAUCAUUUGACUAAGAUGUUGUUUUCGGGAAAAGAAGUUCAUGAAUUUGGCUUCACUUUUUUUUUAUUUUCUUUUGAAUAAGUUAGUGCUAGAAAGCUUCGGAAAUUGAGAAAUUAGCCUUAUGGUUCACUAUUGCCUACCCCUUUUCCAGUCAUGUUGAUAUUGUCAUUUGUUUAGCUUAAAUGGUGUUAUGGAAACUAAUUUCCUGUUUGAUGUCGAUUUCUUAUCGCAAUUUUGUGAAAGGACCCCCUACUUUGUGCUACUUUUAGCCAAGAUGUGAAGCCAUCUAAAUGAUAUUUUGAUUCCACUGGUCAUUUUAGGGGCUGCCACGAAUACCCCAAAAUUAUCGUGUUCAUAAGCUUUGGGUUUGUUUAGUAUCAAUAACAAGGUUAAAAAUUUGUCACUAUAAGGGAUUUCGUAUACUCCUAGAAUGUACCUUAACUUGGAAAGAAUCGUCCCGUUUAUGUGGAAUGUUAAGGUUUGGUUUGAGGAUAGCUCUCUGUUUUGCUUGUUUUUUUGAAUUAAAAAAAAAAACCUUAGAGUAUUCUGGUUACUCACCAUUUUUUAUUUUAGGUGUGAAACAUUUUAAGAUCAAUGGGGCUACUUUCUUCCAUCGCCUUCGCAUUAAUUGCCCCGCAAGAAGUAGUUUCUUUUUAACUUUGCUAUUUGAUUAUAAAUUUUCUUGAAUCAUUAUGUUGUCCAUGGUGUGCGGUGUCUUAUACGAGUUAGACAUUACUAUGUGUCAUGUCUAUUAAGAUAGUUUCCAGUGAUUUGAAAUUAGCAAUAUAUGAAUUACUUUUAAGGAAAAGGGGUCUUGUGAAUACAUGUAAGGGUAAAACGUAUCCCGCUUUAAUUACCUGAUUCUUAUUCUAGCUUUAUAUUUCACUGGUCGUGUUUGAUCUGGUGGUUAUCCAAUCUAGUUGAUUUGUUUUGGUUACGAAAAUAUGAAAUAAAAAAUAUCCUUUGAUCGUUCACUUUGCUUACCCAUGAUUAAGUGUCAGUCAAAUGUUGUCAACUUGUGGACCAUCCUUGAGCAAGUUCUGCGAGGUUUAUAGUUGGUGUCCAGUUGGUGUCUUGUAAAGAUCAGCGUUGUGACCAUUUGGACAUUUCAAGACAUAAUAAUAGACUUUGAUUUUCUUGUUGUCCAGUUGUGCCCUUACUAGGCGUUCGCAGCCUCGGGUUUUGCAUCAAAAGGGCUCCAAAAUGCUAAAAACUUUAUGUAUGGUGGUUGUUCAUCAUGAAGUCUUUUUGACUUUUUACUUGAAUUCUAGAACAUGGCUUUAGUUGCUUAAAGCAUCUUGGUCCAGCUGUGCCCCUAAUUGAAUUCUCAACCUCUAAUUUAACAUGAAAAGAGGCUCCGCAGGUUUAAGAUUAGAAAUUUGAUUCAUAAAAAUUUUUGCAGGUUAAUGUAACUUGGUUCUAUCGCAUGAACAUGAUCAUAAGUUUUAACCAAGUCUUUUAUAUUCUUGUCUGAAGUGUGUCAUCUAUUUUGUAUCUUUUGUUAUUAUGUCAUUAAAUCGGUUUUAAGCCUUGAGUUCCAAGCCAUAGUUACGCAACAACUCAUCCUUUCUCGCAAGCAUCCAUUUUUCUUUUCUUUGUUGGGUUUUGAUUUUCUUAUUUGUGCGAUUCAAGUUUGAAAUUCUUCGAAUUUCAGAGUCGAUUUAUGGUUGAGAAAAUCCCAGUGAAUUGCUCUGCGAAGGGUUAAUAUCCUUCAUAUUCCUAAAGAUAAUGUAGUCUUUUGAAUGCUAUUUGGUCCUCGUUUGAUUUAUUUUCUUAGGUGUGUUUAAAAUCUGUGAUUUUAUUUAUUAUGAGACGAAUUGAAAUAAGUAUUUGACAAAAUAAAUGUACUUGAGAAUUCCCAAAGGCAGAGUAGUACUUUAGAUUAAUCAAAUAUGUGAACAAUGGUACGAUUUAUCCCAAAAUUCUGCUCAUGCUUGUUUUGCCUUAGCCAAAAGCGCAACUUUUCUUGGUUUUAUUUAAAAAAAAAAAACCGGUUGCAUGAUCUCACAAGGAAAUAGUUAGUUUUAUUCUUACAGAAUGCUCUCAUUCAAAGCAUGUUUCCUCUCAAUUGCACACAAAUUUUUUAUCUUACUAGUCACUAAUCCUUAUCUUAUUUUUAUUUUUCUAGUUACUAAUCUUUAUAUUUUUUAUUUCACAUGUGAACCCGGGAGCCGGAGUUACAUAAUGGAACUCAUUUUUUGACCCGAUAAUUGGGUCAACGGUCACUAGGAUCACCAGAGCUUCGAAGUCGAGCAAAUUAGAAGCCCAACUCAUAAAUGGAGUCUAGUAUCUCAUAUCUUCUUUGAAUUUAAUUUAUACUCGUCAUGUUGAGUUUUAGGAUGAUACUGAGUUUUGUUAUUGAAUUUUCUUAUUUUUUUAAUAACUUUAAUUAAUUAUUAAAUUUAUGCUAUCUUGUUAUUUGUCAAUCCUUUAGAAGUAGUUUUAACGUUUCGACUUUCGCAAAUAACAUGCGGCUAUCGCUAAGGAAAAUAUUUUUUCCAUAAUCGGUUAAUUCUUUUGGAAAACUUCUUACCAAUAUCUUAAAUGAUAUUAGCAUAGCAACCUUCACAUUUUUCUUUAAACUAUAACAAAAGAUAAAUACAUAGAUUUUUAGUUUUAAAUUAAUUGAGAAAGUUAUCAAAAUUUUAGAUUUUUCCAAAAGAGUUUAUUCAUCAAUUUUAACUUCUUUUUUAGUAAAUAACUCUAACGUUCAAGCUAUUUUAUAUUUUUACUUUCGUUUGGGGUUUCAGAUUCUCAAGAGAUUAGAAAACACGAGGUAUAUACAUUCUUUUGCUACCACAUACAAGGUACAUCGUAUUAUUUUUACAAUAACUAUUUCAAAUCAUAUCCAUUAUUACCAUUAUUAUUUACACCAUAAUAUUUAUUACUAUUUCAAUUAUUAUUAUUACUAUUAACGUCAUUAUUAAUAUUACUAGUGUCACCAUUAUUACUAUUAUUUUAUUAUUAUUAUUAUUAUUAUUAUUAUUAUUAUUAUUAUUACGCACUACUACUACUAAUCUUACUGCUAUUAUUUAUUAAUAUUAUUAUUCAAUUUUUACUUUUUAUUUAAUAUUUACAUAAAUUAUAUUUAGAUAGUUUUAUAAUAUUUAUUUGAUUUUUUAAAGAUCUAAACAUAAUAGAGUAAAAGUUCAUUCAAAACUCUUUAACCAUGAGUUUCUAUUUAUAAAGAUAAUAAAGUUUUUAUCUUAUCCAUAUCAUAAAAUUUUAAAAAAGCUAUUUUCAUAUCUUAAAAUAUUCAUGUAACAUAUAUACAUAUAUGCGAUGAUUGCAUUAUUUUCUUGUACAUGGUAGCAUCACGUUUGUUAUACCUUAAGCUUUUUUUAAUAUAUAAAAUAGCAAGUAGAAAAUAGCGAUGAAAGUUUUCUUAUCACCAUUUUCGCAAAUAAAUAAAAGUAAUAUUUUUCUUAAUUAAGCGUAAGGACUAUCUUUGGAUAGGUUCUGAGGAAUGCCUAACACCUUCCCCUCGAGUAACCAAAACACUUGCUCAGAAUCUCAAAAUGUUUUCAAUUGACCAAAACAAAGUUUUCUACAUAAAAAAUGGUUUUUCCUAAUUUUCCUAAAAAGUUAGGUGGCGACUCUAAAAAAAAUGAAUUUUCAAAACCCAAGAGUCACAUUAAACACGUAGCCAGCAUACUAUGUGUGCUGUUUGGAUCGGUUCGAAAUGGGGCGCGACAAAAUGGCGACUCCGCUGGGGAUUUUGUGAACUUAGAUUUUAACCUUAACAUGGUUAGUUUGAGAUUUUUAUACUUUAUUACGUUAUUUGCUUUACGUAUCUUUAUAUCAUACUCUGUGCGAAAGGACGCAAGCCAAAUCCAAAAUUGUGUUCCUUAUUUGUUUGAACAAAACUACUUGUUACUGCUUUAUCACUUGCAUUUUUUUAUCGAGUCUUUGGCCGUACACAAUUCACACACUGUGGUUCACACGGGGGGUGUAUCUACACUCCCCAAACCUUCUUUGGAUUCCUUAGUUUUAGAAUUGGUGCAAUUAGGUUAGUGCACCUUCUCGCAACUAUUCAAUCCCACUCUCAAACAUUUAGGGAAAAAUCUUACUCUAGAAAUAGGUCAUGUCAGAUAAACCUUAGGCAUGAUGGUCCAAGGCAUCGUCAUCGUAAUUAGGAAACCACCCUUUUGUCAAAGGUUACCAACCCGUCGACAUAUUUUUGUGUGAUGAUUGAUGUUGACGAUCUAAACUAAAACAUAUAAUGGAUUUGAGAUAAACGACUUACUAUACCUUCUUGUUUUUCCUACCAGAUGAAUAUCAAUCCAAAUUUGCCAAACAUCCAAAUGGUCAUCUCUGCCCCUGAUAGCCUACAGAAUUGGUGGGGAAACAUUCGUAUGGGACAUGGUGCGGAAGUUUGGGAACAUUUGGGGGCUCUAUUGUCAUUAAUGAGGAUUCGAGCCCAUAAGACCCUCAUUGCACUGUUGACGGAGCUUUGAGACCCAAACACAGUGACCUUCAAGUUUUUGGACUUCGAGAUCACCCCUACCCUGGAGGAAGUUAGUGAAUUUCCUGAGCUGCCACUUCAAUUGCUGGUACUCCCGUCACCUGUAAGGAAGGAGGAUUUCUUGAGGCUUUUGGGAUUGGAUAUAUUUUCUUUACUAAGGAACGUGGAGGAUGGAAAGGUAAAACUGGAUUACCUUUUUUAGAAAAUUUGGCCGCGUGAAGAAUUAUGACGAACACAGGAAUGAGUUUGUUUGCACCCGCAGACAAUGGGUGCAUUUGCGACCAAGGGUCUUUGUCUUGGCAUUUUCGGGAAUCAUGAUUUUCCCAAUGAGACGAUAUUAUGUUGACAUUAAUAUUAUACUGGUGGUAAUGAAUGUCUUGGCAGAUCCACAGAGGUUCACUUUAAUGCACAUGAUACUUGCAGAGGUAUUCCGGUCAUUAUUCGCCUGCUCUUGGGGACAUAACUUCUUUGGGGGUUGCAACCUGCUGUUAUAGAUCUGGGUGAUAGAACACUUCUAUCGUCACCUUCCACAUAUGGACUAUACGAUCGAUGCACGUAGUCGGAUCCAAAGUCAUGAGGAUCGCUUAAGGUAUUGGAUCACGCCAACUGGGGGGAGAAGUGGCGCGAAUUUUUAAAUAAUCUUACUAGUGAUUCCAUCCAAUGGAAGUACUCUUGGAUAGGGGGAUAUGCCUUCAUCAGAACUAGGCAUCUGUAUUUCAUUGAGCUGAUUGGGCUACAUGGUAUCCAACCAUAUGCACCUCCGCGGGUUCUUAGACAAUCUGGAUCAUCUAGGAUAUCCCACUUUGGUCUACAAUGGUACUUCAUAAAGACAAUUAUGGUUCUUUGAUUCCAACUGCACGAGUGGCAAACCUGCAAAUGGAGUGGGAUUAUAUGGUUAUGUUAAGGAUAGAAGGACAAAAAUAGUGCACACUGGAAUAUUAUGCGUGGCGCACCACCGUGAGUUACAUAGCCAGACCGAGCGAAGAUGGUUUUCGAGGACUCACAAACCCUUGGUAUGUCCAAUAGGUUAAGAGAGAGGUGCUUCCCAGCAUAGAUAUCACUACACCCAUGUAUAACUAAAUAAUCCUAGGUUCUUUUGAUUAUCUAAUUCCAGUGAUCGAGGAGGAUCCUGAAGAAGAUCCAGAGAAAAACCAGAGGAGGAGGAAGAAGAAGAAGACCCCGAAGAGGACCCGGAGGAAGAACCCAAAGAAGAACCUGAGGAAGACCCAGAAUGGAUAGAAUAAGACCCUCAGGAAGGCUAAGAUAUAGGCUCUAAUAUUUAUGAUCCCGAAGACGAAGGGGUGAUAAAGGUAGACUUGGCACUUGAUCAUGACUUAGAGGGAUCCCCGGAGUACCAUCCAAAAUCCUAUUUUGAUGAGGGUAGAGAUAAUAGUGAUGGUGAAUGUGCCACCUGGCCUUAGACUACCUUUCCUAUUGUAACUUUUAUAUUCCCAAGAAAGAGCCACAUGGCCCACCCCAUUGUAAGCCCUUGCGGUCAUCUUUUCAUUUUCUUUCAAGCUGUCGUUGAUCUAUUUUGAUGUAACCUUUUGAAACACCAUUGUUCAAUGAAAGUUGUGAUUAUUCUCAAAUCCAAAUGUGUUUAAAUAGACAUUUAUCAUCAACUAACAUGGCGUUAUCUUGGCGUAUAUAUAUGUUACUUACUUGUUACAUUUUCAUAAUUGCCCAAACUAACAUAGUUUCCUUUUUUUUUCUUUCUAUCUUUCCUUUUGUUUAUUAAUUCCCCAAAUAAAAUAAAAAGAAAGUUCAUUUGUGUCAAUUGAAAAAUUGGCGGAAUCCCAAUACAACCUUCGGUCCAAAGGAAAUAUGACUAACAAGGACCAAUCCAACAAAGCUAUGAUGAUCCCAGUAGAUGACACCGAGAGUUCCCAGAGGCCAUCAGACACCCCAAACGACGAACAAAUGGCCAACAUGGCGCAAGAAAUUAAAAUCUUGAAAGAAGAGAUACGUCAAAUACGAGAUUUAACCAAGCUUACAAUAGCUAGAUUUCCCGCUCAGUUGCAGGAUCCAAGUAUUGAACUACCUCCAGGCGCUUCUGCUAACCCAGAAAAUAUACCAUACACUCAAGCCAUAGCCGCUCUUCAACCCACUGUCGAGAUGGUGCCUGCUUAUUCAUUUCCUGCUCAAAACUUUAAUACUCCCAUACAUCCAGAGAUGCAACAUAUACCUGAGGCACAUGUCACUUGUGAGAUACCUGUGCCACCUGUAUACGCUACCGAAGCUCCUACCUUCCCAACAUCUGCGACUCUUAAGGUUUCAUAUGAGGUGGAUCAAUAUGCAAGGUUAGGGAAGGAUGUUUAAUCAAGUGAAGAAGUCAAGUGAAGAAGGGUCAUUAGCAGUCUAAUUUGAAAGUCUCAAGAGAAUUUAGAAAUGUCCAGGUCAAUAGAGGGACUAAAAGCUUGGACUACGAUAACUUAUAUAUUCCUCCAAACAUCGACAUCCCAGUGGGGUACAAACCACCAAAGUUUAAUGUAUUUGAUGGAAAGGGUAACCCACGUGUACAUCUGAGGGCUUACUGCGAUAAGUUGGUCGGUGUGGGAAGGAAUGAGAAGUUGAGAAUGAAGCUAUUCAUACGGAGUUUAUCGGGGGAAGCUUUGACUUUGUACACUCAACAAGACCUCUACAAGUGGCGUGACUGGAUAGAAAUGGCUGAGGACUUCAUGAAUCGCUUUAGGUUUAACACCGAGAUUGCCCCAGAUAGGUUCUCAUUAGCCAAUAUAUAGAAGAAGCCAUCGGAAUCAUUUCAAGAAUAUGCAUGGCAUUAGAGGACUGAGGCUGCCAGGUUCCAGCCUCUAUUGGAUGAAAAUAAACUCUCCAAGUAUUUUAUCCAAACUCAAAAAGGUGUUUAUUUUGAUAAGAUGAUGUUAAUGAUGGGCCAAAAGUUUACAGAGUUUUUCAAGAUGGGGGACUUCAUAGAAGAAGGCAUCAAAUCAGGUAAGAUCCCAUCUAUUGUUGCACUACAAGCUGCAAGUAAGGACAUGCAGACUGGUUCCAUUAAUGGUAAUAAGAAAAAAAAGGAAAGAUGUCUCAGCCGCCACACCAUACUAUCAACCUGGAAAUUCUUUCUACUAUUACCCUAACAACCCCUAAAUUGUUGCACAUGUCCUAGCGUACAAUACUCAACUGUAUUAUAAUCCACCUCGAGCUCCAACAUACCAAAAUCAACCAAGAUCGUACGCCCCUGUCCAAGCUCCAGUUCACCAAAAUAGACAUGCCUAUGCGCCCAGACCACGUCUAAAUUUUGAAGCCAGAAAUACUUGCACCUACAUACCAAUUGCAGAACCUUUGGCCCAGUUGUUUGAGAGAUUAAGGGCAGCUAGUUUGUUGCAUCCAAUGAGAAAAAGGCCCCUAAUCUAAUGUCUCAAAACUUUGACAAAAGCAAGCGGCGCAUCUAACACUCAGGAGUCUAGGGGCAUGACACAGAAGACUGCUACAGCUUGAAGAAUCAAAUUGAGUCUCUCAUAAGUAGGGGUAUAAUCAAAUGCACCACCGCAGCUUUAAAUGUGAACAAUAACCCCAUGCCAAAUCAUGAAAAUUAAGAAGUUAAUAUGAUUACUUUAGAGGAGGAGUAUGAUUCGGAAGAAACAAUUGUUCCCACAUGGAACGCAGAAGAAAUUGCCAUUAUAUCACCAUCACAACCGUUUAUCACAGUUCAAUUGAGGAAGCCUAUAACUGUUCAAACCUACCUUCCAAGAGUCAUAGUAACCACAUUAGCCACUGAAAGGCUCGACUAUGACACUAAGGCAGUUCCAUGGGACUAUCGAGCUAAGGCCAAGGGCAAAAUGAUAGACGUUGCUGCAGCUCAAGGGAUGACUAGGUCAGGGAGGUGUUACACACUAGAAGAAACAAAUUAUAGAGCUCUCGAGAAAGAUCAAAACUCGGGGAGAAAUAUCAUGAAUGCCGAAGCUGUAGAAUUUUAGAAAAAAAGAUACAACUUAAGGACUAUUCCAUCGAAGAUCAACUCAAGAAGACACCGGCCCACAUAUCUGUCAUGUCUUUGCUUACAAGUUCUGAAGCCCAUAGAAAUGCUUUAAUGGAAGUGUUAUAUGGGGUUAGCAUACCAAAGGAGACCACUAGCGAGACUUUGGUUGCAGUAAUCGCGCGAGUGGUGGAGGCAAACAAAGUCUCUUUCCAUGAUGAUGAGUUACCAUCAGAAGGGGCGACACACAAUAAAACACUCUAUAUUGUAGUCAAAUAUCAUGAUAAAAUUGUGAACAGGGUCUUAAUCGAUGGUGGUUCAAGUUGUAACAUUUGUUCAUUCUCCACCCUAAGGGAUUUGGGUAUGAAUAUAGAAGACAUAAGGGAGAGUCGGGUAAAGGUCCGAGCCUUUAAUGGGUAACCAAGGAGUGUUAUUGGAGAAAUUUACUUGACACUGUAGAUAGAACCAUUAGAAUUUCCUAUCCUUUUCAAUUCAUGGAAGUGUCAUCUAGCUACAACCUGCUGCUGGGAAGGCAAUAGGUCCAUAUGGCAAGAACUGUUCCUUCCACUCUUGUUCAAUGCGUGAAGUUUGAGUGUUGUAGCACAAAAGUUACUGUCUAUGGGGAUCUCAGUCAUCCCAUCUAUUCUGUCAAUUCAGUCCCAAUCAUCGAGGAAUUAGAUGGAUCCACUUUCCAUACCUUGGAGAUUAUACAAGCUACAAGGAUCGAUGAGAAAAAAGAUCCAGCUGAAAGGAAAAUGUCGAGUGCUAAAAAGAUGGUUGCAUCGUAGAUGUUGAAAUAUGGGUAUCAGCCCAAGACAGGGCUAGGAUCGAGAGCCGAUGGUAUGGUCGAGCCAAUCCAGCUGAAACAUCAAAGAGGUUCUAGAGAUCUUGGAUAUGAGCCCAUUUCUGGAGGAGCCUGCAGUGAAAGAUUUAGAAUAAAGGUAUUCGUGCCAACCCAAGUCCCAAUUUCAGGGCAAAUAAUUGACGAAGAUAUCAUAGAAGGGAUAGGAAAUCUAUUUGUGGCCGUUAUUGAAGAAGAAUCGGUGAUAGAUUUCAAAAAGCUCACCAUCUGGGAUGCUGAACCUGGAGAAGUCCUGCAGAAUUGGACUAUUAGCACAUUCCUAUUCCGUCAGGAGUCUUGGUAGUGCGGGAUUGUUGGUGCUUUAAAAAAAAUAUUUGAGGCUUGAAUCAUGCCAAAGCUCUUUCUGCUACUUGCCUCUUGCCAAAGCCUAGUGCUUUUAUUCAUAAAAGUUAUUAUUUUCAAAACCUAUUUUUAUUAUUUUCAAAACCUAUUUUUCUAUUUUUAAUAUAUAUUUACUUUACUCGCUUUUAAUACUUUUCAGCGCAAAUAUUAAUAAAAAUCCUCGUCCCACGAUUAUGACAUGUAACGAAUCCAUUGAGCAAAAUGUAAACGAAGAGUAGGAUUACGAGAAUUACGAUGAAAGCAUGAUGCCUGAAAACCUACCGUAGGAGAUCGAGCAACUUGAUAGUUAGAAGAAGCCUAAUAUGGACGAAACUAAAGUCGUCAAUUUGGGUAAUGAAGAAAUAGUAAAGGAAACGCUAGUCAGCAUACACUUGGAGGGUGAAAAGAAACAGGGAUAAAUAAGUCUGCUCAAGCAAUACAUUGAUGUAUUUGCUUGGUAUUAUAGCGACAUGGCUAGUUUAAGCACUGAUAUCAUCUCGCAUCGAUUGCCAACUAACCCCACAUGUCCACCUGUGAAGCAAAAGACAAGGAAAUUCAAACCCGACUUGAGUUUAAAAAUCAAGAAGUAGGUGACCAAGAAUAUAGAAGCUAACAUCAUAAGGGUCACAACUUAUCCCACCUAGUUGGUCAACAUCGUGCCAGUACUGAAGAAGGAUGGAAAGAUAAGAAUAUGCAUGGAUUAUCGGUGUCUCAAAAAGGCUAGUUCGAAGGAUGAUUAUCCUCUCCCAAACAUUCACAUUCUUAUUAAUAAUUGUGCAAAACAUGAGUUACAAUCAUUUGUUGAUUGUUUUGUGGGAUAUCAUCAAAUCCUGAUGGAUGACGACGAUGCAAAAAAAACAACCGUUAUCACUCUAUGGGGAGUAUACUGCUACAGGGUAAUGUCAUUUGGACUCAAGAAUGCCGUUACAACAUAGAUGAGAGCCAUGACCACUUUUUUUCAUGGUAUUAUCCACAAAGAGAUCGAGGUGUAUGUGGAUGAUGUUGUUAUUAAGUCCAAAAGGAGUUCAGAUCACCUAGAUGACUUAUAAAAGUUCUUUGAAAGGCUGUGAAGGUACGACCUAAAGUUGAAUCUAGCCAAGUGCACCUUUGGAGUUCCUACAGGAAAGUUAUUGGGAUUCAUUGUUAGUAGGAGAGGUAUAGAGUUGGAUUCAUCCAUGAUAAAAGCAAUCCAAGACUUACCAUCUCCUAAAACUAAAAAGGACGUAAUGAGCUUCUUGGGAAGUCUCAAUUACAUCAGUCGGUUGAUAGCCCAGUCCACGAUAAUUUGUGAACCAAUAUUCAAGUUAUUGAAGAAGGAUGCCACAACUGGAUGGACUGAAGAAUGUCAAAAGGCUUUUGACAAAAUCAAGGAGUAUUUGCCUAACCCACCAGUAUUGGUUCUACCAAAAUUGGGAAAGACCUUGCUGUUUUAUUUAUCUAUUAUGGAUAAUACAUUUAGGUGUCUGUUAGGGUAGCCUGAUGAUACUGGGAGGAAAGAGCAAGCCAUUUACUACCUGAGUAAGAAGUUCACAUCGUAUGAAGCAAGGUAUACAUUGUUAGAGCGAACUUGUUGUGCAUUGACUUGGGUUGCACAAAAGUUGAGGCACCACCUGUCUGCAUAUACCACGUACUUGAUUUCAAGAAUGGAUCAACUCAAGUACAUCUUUCAGAAGCCAAUGACUAGUGAAAAAUUGGCAAAAUGGCAGAUUUUGUUGAGUGAGUUUGACAUUGUGUACGUAAUACUAAAAGCCAUCAAAGGACAAGCUUUGGCUGAUCACCUAGCAGAAAAUAUAGUGGAUCGAGAUUACAUGCCACUCAAUACUUACUUUCCUAAUGAAGAGGUGUUGUUUGUAGGAGAAGACAUCUCAGAACCAUAUGAUGGAUGGAGAAUAUUCUUUGAUAGAGCAGCAAACUUUGAAAGAGUCAGAAUUGGAGCUGUUUUAGUUUCGAAAAUAGGUCAACAUUACCCAAUCUUGGCAAAUAUUAGGUUCCUUUGCACGACUAACAUGACAGAAUAUGAGGCUUGCAUCCUCAGACUUAGGAUGGCAGUAGACAUGGACAUCAAGAAGCUAUUGGUGAUAGGAUAUUCAGAUGUAGUGAUCCAUCAGGUGCAAGAAGAAUGGACCACCAAGAAUGUCAAAAUCCUUCCUUAUAUACAAUAUGUUAAGGGGUUGAGCAAAAGGUUUACGAAGAUUGAAUUCAAACACGUCCCUCGAAUUCAAAAUGAGUUUGUCGAUGCCUUGGUGACAAUAUCCUCAAUGAUUCAGCAUCAGGAUAAGAAUUACAUCGAUCCCAUCAAGGUGGAGAUAUACAACCAACAAGCAUACUAUUUCUAUGUAAAUAAAGACCCAGUUGGAAAACCAUGGUACUAUGACGUCACGAGGCUACUCGAAGCAGAGGAAUAUCCAGAAGGCGCUACCGACAAAUAGAAGAGGACUUUAAAAAAGAUGGCCAAUAACUUCUUUCUUAACAAGGAAAUCCUAUAUAGGAGAACUCCAGAGUUGGGAUUGUUACGAUGUGUUGAUGCCACGGAGGCCACAAGAUUGUUAGAGGAGAUACACGAGGGGAUAUGCGGACCUCACAUGAAUGGUUUCAUGCUUGCAAAGAAGAUCUUGAGAUCUGGAUAUUUUUGGAUGACCAUGGAGAGGGAUAGCAUUUGAUACAUGUAGAAGUGUCACCAAUGUCAAGUUCAUGAAGACUUUAUAUGAGUUCCGCCAAAUGAGCUCAAUGUGAUGGGUUAUCCUUGGCCGUUUGCCGCUUGGGGCAUGGAUGUUAUUGGGUCCAUAGAGCUUCCUGCAUAUAAUAGACAUUGUUUUAUCUUGGUGCUAUCGAUUACUUCACAAAGUGGGUUGAGGCCUCAACACAUAAGGCCGUAACCAAGAAGGUGGUGGCAGAUUUUGUUUGAAAUAACUUAGUCUGUCGGUUUGGAAUUCCAGAGUCAAUCAUAACAAAUAACGGGGCUAAUCUCAAUAGCAACCUAAUAAGAGAGAUUUUUGAAAGGUUUAAGAUCUCUCAUCGAAAUUCCAUGGCAUAUCAACCACAAAUGAAUGAAGCAGUUGAGGCUGCAAAAAAAAACAUCAAGAGGAUCUUGAGGAAGAUAGUGAAUGUUAAUAGGGAAUGGCAUGAGAAACCAUCAUAUGCUUUGCUCGGCUAUCGCACCAUGAUCAGAACAUCUACUGGGGCAACUCCCUACAUGUUGGUUUAUGGGUCGGAAGAAGUGAUACCUACAGAAGUAGAGAUACCCUUAUUGAGAGUCAUCUAGGAGGUUCGUAUAGAUGAUGCUGAAUGAAUUCAUAGCAGGAUCGAGCAGUUGAUGCUCAUUAAUGAGAAGAGAUUGGAUACGAUCUGUCAUGGUCAAUUAUAUCAAAAUAAAAUAAUUAAGGCGUUCAAUAAGAAGGUCAAACCUCGUCGAUUUAUACCAGGACAGUUGGUAUUGAAGAAGAUAUUACCUCACUAAGAUGAAGCCAAAGGGAAAUUUGUGUCAAAUUGGCUAGGUCCCUACAUAGUCCAUCAAGUACUUUCAGGAAGAGCAGUAAUACUUGCAGAGAUGGACGGCAUAGUAAGCACGAAGCCGAUCAAUUAGGACGCCAUCAAGAAGUACUAGCCUCACUUCCUACGGCGGGAUACGUAGGUAGCCCACAUAGGGUUCAGUUUUUCUUAGAAAACCCAAAACAUCAUCCUUUCAUGUAUUUAGAACUAUGCCCGACCUGACUUCCCAUGGCAGGAUACGUAGGAAAUCCACCUCAGAUUCGGUCCCUUCAUAUUUAACCCUUUCAUUGUACUGAACUACGGCCUGACCUGAUUCCACUUGGAUACGUAGGCAGCCUGAGUCAUACCCGAUCAUUGCAUUAUUUUUACUCUAUCUUUUGUAUCGAACUAUGUUAUGACCUGAUUCCUAUCCUUAGGAUACAUAGGCAGCCUGAGUUGGGCUUGGUCACUGCAUUUCAUAUUUUCAGUUCUCCGAUUGUAUUUGAACUACAUCAUGACCUGAUUCCACUUGGAUACGUAGGUAGUCUGAGUCAAACUUGGUCUCUAUAUUUUAUUUUACUUCUCCACCCCCGAACUAUGUGCAUACCUGAUUCCUAUUUUAAGGAUACGUAGGCAACCUGAAAGGUUUGGUCUCACCUUUAGGAAAAUCCUCUCUGCUCAUGGUAUAGCCUUAGAAUAUAAGAGAUCUCGCCGCCAGAAUCAUCGUAGCUUUGACAGUCAUAGAAGCUCCAGUCGAAGGAUAAGGCUACAGGGAUCGUGAUCAACAAAUGGAGGUUUAACAGAUUUUUGAAUGUGUCAUAAUCUAAAAAUGAUAAAAGAUUACUAUAUAUACGUAAUAUAUUUGCAAAACUUAUAUACCUAUAUGUAUUUUUCACUAUACUUUCCAACUUUCCCACCUACUGAGACUCCGGUCUUGAGAUUGAUCGAGCAACCGAGGGAGUGUUGGAGAAUUCUGUAAACAAAGAUAGGAUCCCCAAGUCAACCCAAAUCAACACCCCCUCCCAACCAAGAAUUUUUCUUUGAGCGCAGAAAAAUAGGAAUCGAAAGACGACAUCAAGUCAAACUUUGCUACAGGAUUGAGAACAUCAUGCAUCUUAUCACCACAACAUGAGCCAAAUAUUCUUCCCUUACUUUAUUCUCUUUACAUACAUUUAUACUGAUCCUCACAUACUUUAAGAGUUUUAUUCAAAUUCUUUCGCAGGUACAUUCUAAAACCCCGGGUUUGAAAGGAAGAAAAGAGGAUCCUCAUAAGAAUAUUAGGUUAUUUACUUCUCCCAAUAAACUCCACAAGUCGGAACCAACCACCUGACUAUGCUGAAUAACUCCACAAAUCGAAGGAUAUCGUCUGACUUCAACAUAGUCAAGAUUUUGCGAGCUAAGGACUAUGCAUAAACAAAUAAAAGUUGAGUUUUCACAUUUCUAGGAUUGUAUAUAAGCAAACAAAAGUCGAGCUUUCAUAUUUCGAGGACUGUAUAUAAGCAAACAAAAGUCAAGCUUUCAUGUUUUGGGGACUGUAUAUAAGCAAACAAAAGAUGAGCUUUCGUGUUUCGAGGACUGUAUAUAAGCAAACAAAAACUAAGCAUUCGCAUUCCAAGGACUAUAUUUAAGCAAACAAAGUUGAGAUUUCAUAUUUCGAGGACUGUAUAUAAGCAAACAAAGUCAAGCUUUUGCGUUUUGAGGACUGUACAUAAGCAAACAAAUUCGGGAUUCAUAUUCUGAAGAUUGUACAUAAGCAAGCGAAGCAGACAUCCACUGUUGGAGGCUUUACUUUUUGAGCACUGCUCCCCAGUCGGAUGGCAUUUACUAUUAGCAAUUGGUCAACCGACGGAGGCUAUUUAUAUUUCAGUUGAUGGAGGCUAUUUAUAUUUCAGCCGAUGGAGGCUAUUUAUAUUUUAGUUCCUACUCAGUCGAUGGAGGCUAUUUACAUUUCAGUAGAUUCUUAGCCGGCGGAGGCUAUUUAUAUUUCAGCUGACGGAGGUUAUUUACAUUUCUAUUACUACUCAGCCAACGGAGGCUUUUUACUUUCAAGCAGCUACUCAGCCGACGGAGGCUAUUUACAUUUCAGUUAUUGCCAUGCCAGUCAGAGACCUCCACAAACGGAGACAAUACUAGUUUGAAUAUCUGAACUCCACUCUUUAAAUUACAAUUUCAAUUUACAACUUUUGAACAAACAGGUAUUUUUCACCUCUUUUACUUGUUUUGCAGGAAUAUGCAGCGCAACGUGGAACUACCCUCUUAGAAGCAAACUGGGGCAAGCUAGUGGAAUGUCAAGCAUCCCUAUCUACUGUAAUGCACCGGAAAAUGGGUCCCCAAGCAUCACACGAUGCUUAAGGAUACGAGUAGCCCCAAGCUAACCCUUUGAGCCAUUUUCAUUCAGUCAACACAAAUCAACGAGGUUUCCAUAAAUAACCCUCAAAUAUCAACAGAGUAAUUAUCAUCCAAGAAUAAAAGAAUUUUAGAAAGAUAACAAAAUACGACUUAUUAGUCAACUCCCAUCUAUACUAUUCUGACAAGCUUCUAAGAAAAUCAAUAAAACCAGCGAGCCAUUAAGACAUGCCCUAACUGACUCAUACUCAGUUAUCAAAUGUAAACGAUUCCAUGAAACCAACAUCAGACAUCACGUCCUCGAAACAUGAGGACUCACCACAACAGAGGAUGUGGAAUAGCGUGCCCAAAGAAUCACUGUCGAACCUGGAACUGAGCGCCUGAACCUAUAUUUUGAGAAAAUGCAGCCCAUAUCCAAAGAUGUGGGUCAGUACCAUGGAAAGGAACGGAGUAUAUGGGGGUGUAUGGAGUUGUAUAAACGUCAUCAUCAUAAAUAUUUAUAAGAAAUAUGCAGGAUAUAUGAAUGACUCACAUAUCCCAAGGAAAAUCAUCAUAAUCAUGAGAGGAUGAAAUAAGUACAAUAACAUAUGUGAGUCAUCAUAUAAUUUGUCAAUCACUUUCAGUUCAUCAAGAAUAUCAAUUCUCAUAAUGUAAAUAUCAUUUAAAUCUUUCGAAAGAAUAACUUUCACAAUUCCACUUUCAAAUCACAUCACCAUUCACCAUAGAGACAAGGAAACACACACACACUAGGAGAUUCUAUAACCGACAUAAACCAUGUGAGCUACAAGGAGUCCAACGUACAAUCCACAUUGGGGAGAGCCAUCCUAUCCUUGCCAUCGGAGUAGGACUAUCGAUAUCAAAUCCAGACAAACUAGUGAUCACUAUAUAAAUCAGCCUUAGGCUCACUCCUAUGGGGGCACGUAUUUCUAGGGAAGUAAGGUCGCUUUAUACCUCCCACUCGGUGCUAAAAAUUUCUUCCGAACUUACCUCAGAUCAUUCCAAAGAUAAUCCAUAAUAAAACAAUUUCAGUAAUAUAUAAAUAUACAUCGGGAACCAUCACACUUGAGUUCAAAACAACUCCAUUAAGACCAAAAGGUCAAAUCAUUCAAAAUAUCUCAAAUAUUCAACAUCAACGUGCUUAUAACACAUACUUUCUAAAAAAAACAAAAUUUCCAAUGGGGAUUCACGACCUAAAUAUCAAAAUCAUGAUAAAUAUCAUUUAAGAUUCAUGUUUUAUAUCUCCACACAUGUAAAUUCAUCUUUCAAAAUCAUAAACAUCAAGAUUUCAUAAUAAUCAUCAUAAGAUAUGGGUUCAUGCUUCAAAUUCAUAAAAAUCAAAUAAAAAUCAUGCCUUUGUAAAGAAAAUUACUUUUGGGCACAAGAACGAAAGAGAGUUCUUGUUGAAAAACCCCACAUACCUUGAAUGAUGAACUAUAGAUCAAUACUCAUUUUUGAGAUGUUAAUCGUGCCUUUGAAUGAUGGUUCUUGGAGUUCUUGAACUAGGAACUUGGAAUCUUGAAUAAAUUUACAGAAUUAAUGGUGAACUUUGGAGGUUCUUGAAGUUGGAUGUAGGAGCUUAGGAUUUUCUUUUUGAGGAAAUUUGAUGAAAUAUAACAUAUAAUGCUUCUAAUAGGCUUUAAUAUAGGGUUUGGACAGAUUUUGGGUAAGGGAGAAUGACCAAAACGCCCCUAAAAAUCAAAUAAUUCUCGAAUCGUUUUACUCCGAUAUCCAGAUUGGAUGAAACUAAUUUCAUUAGAAAAAGAACUCUCAUAUCUUUUCAUUAAUAUAUAGUAUCUCACCUAGAUCAUUGUGUACGAGGAGUUAUGAUCGUUUAAAGUUGACCCAAAAAUUUGCUUUUGAUAGGCUGAAGUAGAUCGACUAUAAGUUUUUGCUCCGAUAGACAAAUUGGAUGAAACUAAUUUCAUUGGAAAGAGGAAUCGCAGAGCUUUCCAUUGAAAUAUAGUAGAUCACCCAGAUCAUUAUGUACAAGUAGUUAUGAUCAUUUAAAGUUGGAGCAAAAAUAUGCCAAGCCUCAGUACCUUUUUCCUGCAGGUUUUACUGUUCACUACUAUUCAUGGUUCGAUCGGAAUGUUCAUAACUCGUCGCUCGGGUGUACGUUUUGGAUGAUUCAUAUAUCAUUGGAAAUCUUAUUUGAUACUCUACGUAAUGGUGGGUCAUAAUCUAAGACACUCCGCAUGAAAAAUUUAUAAUUCAUUCUAGAAGAUAGAACCCAACACGUUUACGCAUAAAAUUUCAACAAAAAAUUUCCCGGGGUAUUACAGGUACGUCAAGGAUUUCGGCAAAGAAACUCAACUCAACUCAAAUCAAAACUCUCAUUUUUAUAAUUUUUAGUUAUCACCAAGUGUCGUCUUAAUUCGACACUGGGUAAGUUUGAAAAUCUGCAAUCUCCUUUUUCCUUAAAAUCCUCAGCAAAUAUUACUAUCCAGCGAUAUCCCAUUCCCAGUUAUCUUAAACAACUAAUUCAAGGAUAAGUGCACCUGUAUUCAUUUCAUUCGUGUUGAAAUCUUUGUUGUCAUCCUCGAAGGAACCCAGUGUCACCAUAAUUCUACACUAGGGCAAAAUUUUGAUAUUUAUCAAAGGUUUGUUCGAACUACAAAUGGCCUGACUUCUCAUAAAAUUCGAGAUAUGUAGGCAGCUCAAAAACCAGAGCCCGUCCAUAAUCUUCCAAACAUUUUAUUUUGCCCGAGACAAAAUUGGUUACGUCAAUUUGAUUGCCCAAAGAUUUUCACAUAAAUGUUUAUCCACUCAGGUGCAACUGUUGACACCUAAUUUUGGUUCGCUCUUUUCCUCUAAUUAAUUUUAUUGAUGUGCUUGGCCCUAAAUAAUUUUUACAAAAUAAAAAUAAUAAGGUUCGUAUUUUUGUCUCUAUUGCUACAAAAUUUUAAAUAAGAGGAAAUUUAUUUUUAUCAUAUCAUAAGAUUAUUUUAAUUAAAUAUAAUCAAGUAUUUUAACAUCAAAAUCACAAAAAAUAUCUUGCGGUAAUUGCAUACGCAUUCUUUCUAAUUUUAUCCUUUAGGUGAUAUUGUGAUUAUAUAUAUAUAUAUAUAUAUAUAUAUAUAUGCAUAUUNNNNNNNNNNNNNNNNNNNNNNNNNNNNNNNNNNNNNNNNNNNNNNNNNNNNNNNNNNNNNNNNNNNNNNNNNNNNNNNNNNNNNNNNNNNNNNNNNNNNNNNNNNNNNNNNNNNNNNNNNNNNNNNNNNNNNNNNNNNNNNNNNNNNNNNNNNNNNNNNNNNNNNNNNNNNNNNNNNNNNNNNNNNNNNNNNNNNNNNNNNNNNNNNNNNNNNNNNNNNNNNNNNNNNNNNNNNNNNNNNNNNNNNNNNNNNNNNNNNNNNNNNNNNNNNNNNNNNNNNNNNNNNNNNNNNNAAUUUAUCCAUAUAUAUAUAUAUAUAUAUAUAUAUACAUAUAUAUAUACAUAUGGAUAUUUAUAUAUACAUAUAUAUACAACUUUUUUUUUAUAUUAAUUAUAAGAUAUUUAUUUUUAACCGUCCGAUCAAAUGAUCGGAUGGACCAUAUUCUGAUCAACAACCAGUACAACAAACGCCUAUUCUCUUUGGAAAAAAAAAAACCAAGCACGUGCCUCUUACCAAAAGAAAAGAAAAGUAGUAUUACAUCUUAUCCCUUUCCUUAAUAAAUGAGAUCUUCUUCCUCUUCUUUCCCUUAUCUCAUCUCCACCACCCCACCUCCUACCCUGACAAAACUCAACCACUGCCUGCAUCUCCUAUCUUCCCACCCCAAAAAUCUACCAACUAGUGAAGGCAAUCAAUUGAAGUUCUCUAAGUCAAAUAACAAAAAUCUUAUCCCUGCGAAGUCAUAUCUCUCACUUCAAAUCCAUUAAAUCUUGUCAGCGUGAAUCCCUCCUUCUCCUGUUUCUAUGGCUUGAGGGCCCAAAAGUGUCACCCUCUCCACUGUUAACUUGGAGGAAAGGAUAACAAGUUCAUGUUCAUCCGUCAUGCCUUUCAAAUCAGCUUGAAAAAGAGGUAAAUCCCUAUCUUUACUCUAUUUUCUUUCAAAAACCUAUGGAUUUUCCCAUCAAUAAUUUGAAUUUGAAUUUUGAAUUCAAUUUAGAGCCUCCUUGAGAAGCUCUCACACUCCAGAGUGUGCUUAUAAAAGGGGCUAUGGCCAUUCCUUUAGGGCUAGAAGAAAAAUUUGGGGAAAAGAAGAAAGAGUAAGGAGAAAAGGAAAAAAAUUUGGAAAAGGGGCUUUAAAAAUCAGAGAAGAAAAGAAUUGGAGGAAAAAGCAAAACUUUGUAAGGAAAUUCUAAGUUCGGAGUCCUAAUCGAGUUCGUCGCUAGAAAAUUCUUGACGCAGAAGCUCCAGUUUUCCUGCCCUAUAAAAUGUAUGAAUUUUUUCCUUUCAUCUCUUUUUUCCUUUGUUUGAGUUCAUAAGCAUGUGUUUAUUCCAGAUUCUGUAAAAUCUCAUGUUGAUGUGAUUAAAAUAAAUGAGUUCUGAUCAAACUCCAAGUUGUUGUUAAUAUCAAAUACUAGACCUAAAUUUGGUUGUAUAUCAAUUUUACGUUGUUGUUAACUCUGAAAUUGGUUAUGAAGGUGAGUGUUUAAGUUUUGAUUUCGUUAGUUCUGAAAAUUGGAUGUAAAAAGCAAAGUAUGUUGCUUUUGAUGUUGAAAAUUGAUUCGUGUAUGAAUAUGCAAUUUUUCUCUCUUAUCGUUUCACUACGAUGUUGUUUUCAUGUUGAUAUUGCCUUUUGUUUAGCUUAAAUAGUGUUAUGGAAACUAAUUUUUUGCUUGAUGUUGAUCACUUGUCGCAAUUCUGUGAAAGGACCCCCUACUUCGUGCUACUUUUACCCAAGAUGUGAAGCCAUCUAAAUGAUAUUUUGAUUCCUCUGGUCAUUUUAGGGGCUGCCACGAAUACCCCAAAAUUAUUGUGUUCAUCAGCUUUAGGUUUGUUUAGUAUCAAUAACAAGGUUAAAAAUUUAUCACUAUAAGGGAUUUCGUAUACUCCUCGAAUAUGCCUUAACUUGGAAAGAAUCCUUCCAUUUUUAUGGAACAUUAAGGUUUGGUUUGAGAACAGCUCUUUGUUUUGCUCAUUUUUUUGAAUCGAAAAAAAACCUUAGAGUAUUCUGGUUGCUCACCAUUUUUUAGUUUAGGUGUGAAACAUUUUAAGAUCAAAAGGGUUGCUUUCUUCCAUCUCCUUUGCAUUAAUUAUCCUGCAAGAAGUAGUUUCUUUUUAACUUUGCUAUUUGAUUAUAAAUUUUCUUGAAUCAUUAUGUUGUCUAUGGUGUGCGGUGUCUUAUACGAGUUAGACAUUACUAUGUGUCAUGUCCUGUUAAGAUAGUUUCCAGUGAUUUGAAAUUAGAAAUAUAUGCAUUAAUUUUAAGGAAAAGGGGUCUUAUGAAUACAUGUAAGAGAAAAACAUUGUAGCGCCCCAAGCCUGGUGCCCGAAACUCUACAUGGUGCUCAUUACCCCAAAGGACCACAAGGUAACCCAUGACUAAUAUCUGUACUUAUACACUACAUAGUAUAACAUAAUAAUGCAGAAACAUGUACUGAAAGGCCGUAAGGUUAAAUACUGAACAUAAUCUAAAUAAUAUAACAUCUGUGUGGGGUAAUAUAAUACCCAAAACAAAACUGAAAAUACUGAAGUCUAAAACAUGAUAGUCUAGAAAGCCUUCAUAACUGAAUAUUCUGAAGAAGAAGUUGAUGGGACAUAUCCCCAACUAACUCUGUCUAGCAAAACUGAACUGAAAUAAUAAGUACUAAUUGUGUCCUUGAAGAAUGAGGACUCACUGUUGAAAACUAGAAUGCUACUGCUGGUCUGGAACUCGCGUCUAUAAACCUAUGGUGUAAAAUAAAAAUAAAACACCAUAGCAUAAAUGCGUCAAGACGAUUGAAUGUGCUAAGUAUGUAUGUGAGGCAGGCUAAAUGCAUGGGGUUCAUAUGCAUGAUUAAUACUAACUGACUAUCUAACAUGAACGUGAGGAUGCAGGCAUGAAUACAUAGUAACUGUAAUUGAAAUCAUGAUAACAUGAUUUCUGAGAAUGAAUACUGAUAAUAUAUGUUAACUGAUAACUAACAUGACAGAUAUAACUGAUAACAUGGGUGACUGUAUCUGACAGUACUGAAUCUGAUAGAACUAUCUGAGUUUCUUUUACUGAAACUGAUACUGAAACUGUGGGAAGUAGUUAUCUAAUUGGUAUGCCUCAAAUGCGCUAUAAUAGCUGAGCUGGGGUCCAAUCUGUUCCCUGAUUGGAAGGGUAUCAAUCUCGCGUCACCGGUAAGGACAAGCUGUGAGGACCCUAUACUGGCAGGUACUCAAAAUGAGAAUGGUGGGAACCCUAAACUGACAGGUUAAGCCACCUCAGCAACCCUAAACUAACAGGUUAGAUGUCUUAACCUACGUUGUCUACGUAGUUCUGGAACACAAGGAUUGCUUCUAAGAAUUACACCCUAAACAGGCAGGUGAGUUCCCAUUCUUGGGUUCUCUAGAUGCUAAUUUAUACUCCUAUCUGAAAAGACUUUGAACAUAAUUACUGAACUAUACAUGCACUGAGUUUACUGAAUUUUAUUAACUGACGAAAUACUACUGAUGUCUGAUAACUGACUGAGAUCAUAAGAUUUUUGAGAUUUCCUGAGUUAUUUGACUGACUAAAUUCUACUGAAUCUAUCUUGACUGAGGAUAUCAUGAAAACAUGACACGGGCUCAAGGCACACAGCUAUAUUUUUUAGGUAUAAGUACCCCCAGGACUCGAUGUAAGAAAACUGCCACCACAUGACACUUCUUGAUCAUAGGAACAAAGUUCACAAUUCAUAAUGCCAUAAGUAGGGGAUUUCAUACUACACCUUGUUCUCAACAUAUUAUACAUGAAAGGGGAUGCAUAUAACAUGUAACUACUUGCAUAACUCCAAUGUCAUGAACAUUCCAAAUCACAACGACAACACAUAACAUUAGACUUGUCAUUUAGGUACUAUUGGGUCAUGAAAAGAUGAAUUCUUGUCUCCUAGGCAUUUUAUCAAACACCUUGCAUGCACACUUUAGGGCAUAGGUGUAUUAAUCAAUUUGACAAUUCAAACCACUCAAAAUUCAUAUAUUUCAACUUACAUGCCAUUCUAGUUUCAUACAAACAUAUAAUGAUUCCAUCUUGGGAUUGUCCAACACAAACAUAAUCAAAAUCAAGUUGCAACAUGAAUAUCAUGAUAUAUAGUUUAAAAUAUGGUUCUUGAGCUUCAUGGAUGAAAGGAGUCCAUGAAUCAACACAACGCAUACCUUAGAUGAAAGUUCUUGAAAGAUCUAUGGUGAAAUCUCUUGGAUUUGGAUCUUCAAAUUGAAGCCCUUGUUCUUGUUCUUGAUAGAAAUUGAUGAAGAGAAUUAUAUUAUGGUUUUUUAGGGAAUUAGUCAUGUGUUUUUUACUUAUAUAGGGGUGGUAAGAUGACCAAAAUAACCAUCAAGACACGGAAGUGUAAUGCUGAAAAAUUGGGUAUAAAGUCUACACAAACGGCGGUGCCUUUGGUAGAGCCUUUUGUACCCUGGGCAGUGCCUUUGGCGCUGAUUUUCCCACAAAGGCUACACUAUGGGUGGCACCCCUUAAUAGCCUUUGGAUACUGGUUUGGUUCACCAAACAUACCCUUAUGCUACUCUGAAAAUUCUAAAACUCACUCGAGAUGUACUACAUCCUUGCCCCAUCGCAACGCAACUUGAAAAUCUAAAAACGGAGGUCGAAAAGGUCAUCAAAUAAAUUCCUGAAGUUCAAAGGUCUUAAAUGAAACUAAGUGUUGAACACUUAGCAAAAUAUUCUAAGUGUUGAAGCUUGUAAAGCUUAGGGAGCUGAAUUUUAGACUUAGGAUUUUACGGGAUCUUACAAACGUAUCCCGCUUUAAUUACGUGAUUCUUAUUCUAGCUUUAUAAUUCACUGGUCGUGUUUGUUCUGGUGGUUAUCCAAUCUAGUUGAUUUGUUCUAGUUACGAAAAUAUGAAAUAAAAAAUAUCUUUUGAUCGUUCACUUUGCUUACCCAUGAUUAAGUGUUAGUCAAAUGUUGUCAACUUGUGGACCAUCCUUGAGCAAGUUUUACGAGGUUCACAGUUGGUGUCCGGUUGGUGUCUUGUGAAGAUCAACGUUGUGACCAUUUGAACGUUUCAAGACAUAAUAAUAGACUUUGAUUUCCUUGCUGUCCAGUUGUGCCCUUAAAAGGCGUUCAAAGCCUCGGGUUUUGCAUCAAAAGGGCUCCAAAAUGCUAAAAAACUUAUGUAUGGUGGUUGUUCAUCAUAAAGUCUUUGCGACUUUUUACUUGAAUGCUAGAACAUGGCUUUAGUUGCUUAAAGCAUCUUGGUCCAGCUAUGCGCCUAAUUGAAUUAUCAACCUCUAAUUUAACAUGAAAAGAGGCUCCACAGGUUUAAGAUUUGAAAUUUGAUUCAUACAAAUUUUUGCAGGUUAAUGUAACUUGGUUCUAUCGCAUGAACAUGAUCAUAAGUUUUAACCAAGUCUUUUAUAUUCUUGUUUGAAGUGUGUCGUCUAUUUUGUAUCUUUUGUUAUUGUGUCAUUAAAUCGGCUUUAAGCCUUCAGUUCCAAGCCAUAGUUACGCAACAAUUCAUCCUUUCUCGAAAGCAUCCACUUUUCGUUUCUUUGUUGGGUUUUGAUUUUCUUAUUUUUACGAUUCAAGUUUGAAAUUCUCCAAAUUUAAGAGUCGAUUCAUGGUUGAGAAAAUCCCAGUGAAUUGCUCUGCGAAGGGUUAAUAUCCUUCAUAUUCCUAGAGAUAAUGUAGUCUUUUGAAUGCUAUUUGGUCCUCAUUUGAUUUAUUUUCUUAGGUUUGUGUUUAGAAUCUGUGAUUUUAUUUAUUAUGAGAUGAAUUGAAAUAAGUAUUUGACAAAAUAAAUGUACUUAAGAAUUCCCAAAGGCAGAGUAGUACUUUAGAUUAAUCAAAUAUGUGAACAAUGGUACGAUUUAUCCCAAAAUUCUGCUCAUGCUUGUUUUGCCUUAGCCAAAAGUGCAACUUUUCUUUGUUUUAUUUUAGAAAAAAAACCGGUUGCAUGAUCUCACAAGGAAAUAGUUAGUUUUAUUCUUACAGAAUGCUCUCAUUCAAAGCAUGUUUCCUCUCAAUUGCACACAAAUUUUUUAUCUUACUAGUCACUAAUCCUUAUCUUAUUUUUAUUUUUCUAGUUACUAAUCUUUAUAUUUUUUAUUUCAUAUGUGAACCCGGGAGCCGGAGUUACACAAUGGAACUUAUUUUUUGACCCGAUAAUUGGAUCAACCUCCACUAGGAUCACGAGAGCUUUGAAGUCGAGCAAAUUAGAAACCCAACUCAUAAAUGGAGUCUAGUAUCUCUUAUCUUCUUUGAAUUUAAUUUAUACUCUUCAUGUUGAGUUUUAGGAUGAUACUAACUUUUGUUAUUGAAUUUUCUUAUUUUCUUAUAAUAACUUUAAUUAAUUAUUAAAUUUAUGCUAUCUUGUUAUUUGUCGAUCCUUUAGAAGUAGUUUUAACGUUUUGACUUUCGCAAAUAACAUGCGGCUAUCGCUAAGGAAAAUAUUUUUUCCAUAAUCGGCUAAUUCUUUUGGAAAACUCCUUACCGAUAUCUUAAAUGAUAUUAGCAUAGCAACCUUCACAUUUUUUCUUUAAACUAUAACAAAAGAUAAAUAAAUAGAUUUUUAGUUUUAAAUUAAUCGAGAAAGUUAUCAAAAUUUCAGAUUUUCCCAAAAGAGGUUAUUCAUCAACUUUAACUUCUCUUUUAGUACAUAACUCUAACGUUCAAGCUAUUUUAUAUUUUUACUUUCGUUCGGGGUUUCAGAUUCUCAAGAGAUUAGAAAACACGAGGUAUAUACAUUCUUUUGCUACCACGUACAAGGUACAUCGUAUUAUUUUCACAAUAACUAUUUCACAUCAUAUCCAUUAUUACCAUUAUUAUUUACACCAUAAUAUUUAUUACUGUUUCAAUUAUUAUUAUUAUUAUUAUUAUUAUUAUUAUUAUUAUUAUUAUUAUUAUUAUUAUUAUUAUUAUUAUUAUUAUUAUUAUUAUUAUUAUUAUUAUUAUUAUUAUUACCUCAAUUUGUUGCGCCUAAAUAUUAUAUUAUCACAUUUUGCUUUUGGCUUAUUUCUAAAUCUAAAUCUAUUUAAGUUUCACAGACUAAGUAGAAUUUUACAUCUUUUUCGUACUUUCAAAUAUAUUCAUAUUCGUAUUUUGUCUUAAAUUACUCCACGCCUUAAAAUAUUUUAUAAAUUUUAUUUACCUAUUCAAUUUAUACAUAUAAAGAUAAUAAAGUUUUUAUCUUAUCCAUAUCAUAAAAAUUUUAAAAAAGCUAUUUUCAUAUCUUAAAAUAUUCAUGUAACAUAUACAUAUAAGCGAUGAUUGCGUUAUUUUCUUGUACAUGGUAGCAUCACGUUUGUUAUGCCUUAAGUUUUUUUUUUUUAUAUAAAAUAACAAGUAGAAAAUAGCGAUGAAGGUUUUCUUAUCACCAUUUUCGCAAAUAAAUAAAAGAAAUAUUUUCCUAAAUUAAGCGUAAGGACUAUCUUCGGAUAGGCUCUGAGGGAUACCUAACACCUUCCCCUCGAGUAACCAAAAUCCUUACUCAGAAUCUCAAAAUGUUUCAAUAGACCAAAACAGAGUUUUCUACAUAAAAAAUUGUUUUUCCUAAUUUUCCUAAAAAGUUAGGUGGCGACUUUACAAAAAAAUGAAUUUUCAAAACCCAAGAGUCACAUUAAACACAUAGCCACCAUACUAUGUAUGUUGUUUCGAUCGAUUCAAAAUAGUGCGCGAUAGAAUGGCGACUCCGCUGGGGAUUUUGUGAACUUAGGUUUUAACCUUAACAUGGUUAGUUUGAGAUUUUUAUGCUUUAUUACAUUAUUUUCUUUACGUAUCUUUAUAUCAUACUCUGUGUGAAAGGACGCAAGCCAAAUCCAAAAUUGUGUUCCUUAUUUGUUUGAACAACACUACUUGUUACUGCUUUAUCACUUGCAUUUUCUUAUCGAGUCUUUGGCCGUACACAAUUCACACACUGUGGUUCACGUGGGGGGUGUAUCUACACUCCUCCAAACCUUCUUUGGAUUCCUUAGUUUCAGAAUUGGUGCAAUUAGGUUAGUGCACCUUCUCGCAGCUAUUCAAUCCCACUCUCAAACAUUUAGGGAAAAAUCUUACUCUAGAAAUAGGUCAUGUCGGAUAAACCUUAGGCAUGAUGGUCCAAGGCAUCAUCAUCGCAAUUAGGAAACCACCCUUUUGUCAAAGGUUACCAACCUGUCGACAUAUUUUUGUGUGAUGAUUGAUGUUGACGAUCUAAACUAAAACACAUAAUGGAUUUGAGAUAAACGGCUUACUAUACCUUCUUCUUUUUCCUACCAGAUGAAUAUCAAUCCAAAUUUGCCAAACAUCCAAAUGGUCAUCUCUUCCCCUGAUAGCCUACAGAAUUGGUGGGGAAACAUUCGUGUGGCACAUGGUGCGGAAGUUUGGGAACAUUUGGGGGCUCUAUUGUCAUUAAUGAGGAUUCGAGCUAAUAAGACCCUCAUUGCACUGUUGACGGAGUUCUGGGACCCAAACACAGUGACCUUCAAGUUUUUGGACUUCGAGAUCACUCCUACCCUAGAGGAAGUCAGUGAAAUUCCUGAGCUGCCACUUCAAGGGAAGUUGCCGGUACUCCCAUCACCUGUAAGGAAAGAGGAUUUCUUGAGGCUUUUGGGAUUGGAUAUAUUUUCUUCACUAAGGAACGUGGAGGAUGGAAAGGUAAAAAUGGAUUACCUUUUUAGAAAAUUUGGCCGCGUGAAGAAAUAUGACGAGCAUAGGAAUGAGUUUGUUUGCACCCGCAGACAAUGGGUGCAUAUGCGACCAAGGGUCUUCGUCUUGGCAUUUUUGGUAAUCAUGAUUUUCCCAAUGAGACGAUAUUAUGUUGACAUUAAUAUUAUACCGGUGUUAAUAAAUGUCUUUGCAGAUCCACAGAGUUCAUUUUAGUGCACAUGAUACUUGCAGAGGUAUUCCAGACAUUAUUCUCCUGCUCCAGGGGACAUGACUUCUUUGGGGGUUGCAACCUACUGUUACAUAUCUGGGCGAUAGAACACUUCUAUCGUCGCCUUCCACAUAUGGACUAUACGAUAGAUGCACGUAGUCGGAUUCAAAGUCAUGAGGAUCGCUUAAGGUAUUGGAUCAUGCCAACUGAGGGGGAGGAGUGGCGCAGGUUUUUAAACAAUCUUACUAGUGAUUCCAUCCAAUGGAAGUACUCUUGGAUAGGGGGAUAUGCCUUCAUCAGAACUAGGCAUCUGUACUUUAUUGAGCUGAUUGGGCUACGUGGUAUCCAACCAUAGGCACCUCUGCGGGUUCUUAGACAAUUUGGCAUCAUCAAGGAUAUCCCGUUUUGGUCUACAAUGCUACCUAGAAUAUUAUGCGUGGUGCACCACCAUGAGUUACAUAGCCAGAUCGAGCGAAGAUGGUUUUCGAGGACUCACAAACCCUUGGUGCGUCCAAUGGGUUAAGAGAGAGGUGCUUUCCCGCAUGGAUAUCACUACACGCAUGUAUAACUAAAUAAUACCAGGUUCUAUUGAUUAUCUAAUUCCAGUGAUCGAGAAGGAUCCUGACGAAGAUCCAGAGGAAACCCAGAGGAGGAGGAAGAAGAAGAAGACCCCGAAGAGGACCUGAAGGAAGAACCCAAAGAAGACCCUGAGGAAGACCCGGAAUGGAUAGAAUAAGACCGUCAGGAAGGCUCAGAGAUAGGCUCUAAUAUUUAUGAUCUCGAAGAUGGAGGAGUGAUGAAGGUAGACUUGGCACCUGAUCAUGACUUAGAGGGAUCCCCGGAGUACCAUCCAAAAUCCUAUUUUGAUGAGGGUAGAGAUGAUGAUGAUGAUGCCACCUGGCCUUAUACUUCCUUUCCUAUUGUAAUUUUUAUAUUCCCUAAAAAGAGCCACAUGACCCACCCCAUUGUAAGCCUUUGCGAUCAUUCUUUAACUUUCUUUCAAGCUGUCGUUGAUCUAUUUUGAUGUAACCUUUUGAAACACCAUUGUUCAAUGAAAGUUGUGAUUAUUCUCAAAUCCAAAUGUGUUUAAAUAGACUAUUUAUCAUCAAAUUGAUUGAAGCGUAGUCCUACCUCUGGCAAAAAAGAUGCUCUAUAUUAGUACGUGUUUGAAUAUCGCCAACUUGGCAUAUAUAUAUGUUAUUUACUUGUUACAUUUUCAUUAUUGCCCAAACUAACAUAGUUUCAUUUUUUUUUCUUUCUAUCUUUCCUUUUGUUUAUUAAUUCCCCAAAUAAAAUAAAAAGAAAGUUGAUUUGUGUCAAUUGAAAAAUUGGCAGAAUCCCAAUACAACCUUCGGUACAAAGGAAAUAUGACUAACAAGGACCAAUCCAACAAAGCUAUGAUGAUCCCAGUAGAUGACACCGAGAGUUCCCAAAGGCCAUCAGACACCCAAAACGACGAACAAAUGGCCAACAUGACGCAAGAAAUUAAAAUCUUGAAAGAAGAGAUACGUCAAAUACGAGAUUUAACCAAGCUUACAAUAUCUAGCUUUCCCACUCAGUUGCAAGAUCCAAGUAUUGAACUACCUCCAGGCGCUCCUGCUAACCCAGAAAAUAUACCAUACGCUCAAGCCAUAGCAGCUCUUCAAUCCACUGCUGAGAUGGCGCCUGCUUAUUCAUUUCCUACUCAAAACUUUACUACUCCCAUACAUCCAGAGAUGCAGAAUAUAUCUGAGGCACAUGUCACUUGUGAGAUACCUGUGCCACCUGUAUACGCUACCGAAGCUCCUGCCUUCCCAACAUCUGCGACUCUUAAGGUUCCAUAUGAUGGGGAUCAAUAUGCAAGGUUANNNNNNNNNNNNNUCAAGUGAAGAAGGGUCGUUAGUAGUUCAAUUUGAAAGUCUCAAGAGAAUUUAGAAAUAUGCAGGUCAGUAGAGGGACUAAAAGCUUGGACUAUGAUGACUUAUGUAUUCAUCCAGACAUCGACAUCCCAGUGGGGUACAAACCACCAAAGUUUGAUGUAUUUGAUGGAAAGGGUAACCCACGUGUAUAUCUGAGGGCUUACUACGAUAAGUUGGUCGGUGUGGGAAGGAAUGAGAAGUUGAGAAUGAAGCUGUUCAUACGGAGUUUAUCGGGGGAAGCUUUGACUUUGUACACCCAACAAGACCCCUACAAGUGGCGUGACUGGCUGGAAAUGGCUGAGGACUUCAUGAAUCUCUUUAGGUUUAACACUGAGAUUGCCCCAGAUAGGUUCUCAUUAGCCAAUAUACAAAAGAAGCCAUCAGAAUCAUUUCAAGAAUAUGCAUGGCAUUAGAGGACUGAGGUUGCCAGGAUCCAGCCUCUAUUAGAUGAAAACGAACUCUCCAAGUAUCUUAUCCAAGCUCAAAAAGGUGUUAAUUUUGAUAAGAUGAUGUUAAUGAUGGGCCAAAAGUUUGCAGAGUUUGUCAAGAUGGGGGACUUCAUAGAAGAAGGCAUCAAAUCAGGUAAGAUCCCAUCUAUUGUUGCACUACAAGCUGCAAGUAAGGACAUGUAGACUGGUUUCAUUAAUGGUAAUAAGAAAAAAAGAAAGAUGUCUCAGCUGCCACACUAUACUAUCAACCUGGAAAUUCUUUCUACUAUUACCCUAAAAACCCCCAAAUUGUUGUACAUGUCCUAGUGUAUAAUAAUCAACUGUAUUAUAAUCUACCUCAAUCUCCAACAUACCAAAAUCCAACAAGACCGUACGCCCCUGUCCAAGCUCCAGUUCACCAAAAUAGACCAGCCUAUGUUCCCAGACCACGUCUAAAUUUUGAAGCCAGAAAUACUUGCACCUACAUACCAAUUGCAGAACCUUUGGCCUAGUUGUUUGAGAGAUUAAGGGUAGCUAGUUUGUUGCAUCCAAUUGAGAAAAAGGCCCCUGAUCCAACGUCUCAAAACUUUGACAAAAGCAAGCGGCGCGUCUAACACUCGGGAGUCUAGGGGCAUGACACAGAAGACUACUAUAGCUUGAAGAAUCAAAUUGAGUCUCUCAUAAGUAGGGGUAUAAUCAAAUACACCACCGCAGCUCCAAAUGUGAACAAUAACCCCAUGCCAAAUCAUAAAAAUUGAGAAGUCAAUAUGAUUACUUUAGAGGAGGAGUAUGAUUUGGAAGAAAUAAUUAUUCCCACAUGGAACGCAGAAGAAAUUGCCACUACAUCACCAUCACAACCGUUUAUCACAGUUCAGUUGAGGAAGCCUAUAACUGUUCAAACCUACCUUCCAAGAGUCAUAGUAACCACAUUAGCCACUGAAAGGCUCGACUAUGACACUAAGGCAGUUCCAUGGGACUAUCAAGCUAAGGCCAAGGGCAAAAGAUGUUGUUGUGGCUCAAGGGAUGACCAGGUCAGGAAGGUGUUACACACUAGAAUAAAUAAAUCAUGGAGCUCUCGAGAAAGAUCAAAACUCGGGGAGAAAUAUCAUGAAUGCUGAAGCUGUAGAAUUUUAGAAAAAAAGAUACAGCCUAAGGACUAUUCCAUCGAAGAUCAACUCAAGAAGACACUGGCCCACAUAUCUGUCAUGUCCUUGCUUACAAGUUCUGAAGCCCAUAGAAAUGCUUUGAUGGAAAUGUUAUAUGGGGUUAUCAUACCAAAGGAGACCACUAGCGAGACUUUGGUUACAGUAAUCGCGCGAGUGGUGGAGGCAAACAAAGUCUCUUUCCAUGAUAAUGAGUUACCAUCAGAAGGGGAGACACAUAAUAAAGCACUCCAUAUUGCAGUCAAAUAUCAUGAAAAAAUUAUGAACAGGGUCUUAAUCAAUGGUGGUUCAAGUUGUAACAUUUGUUCGUUCUCCACCUUAAGGGAUUUGGGUAUGAAUAUAGAAGACAUAAGGGAGAGUCGAGUAAAGGUCUGAGCCUUUAAUGGGUGGCAAAGAAGUGUUAUUAGAGAAAUUUACUUGACACUGCAGAUAGAACGAUCAGAAUUUCCUAUCCUUUUCAAUUCAUGGAAGUGUCGUCUAGCUACAACCUGCUGCUGGGAAGGCAAUAGGUCCAUAUGGCAAGAGCUGUUCCUUCCACUCUUCUUCAGUGCAUGAAGUUUGAGUGUUGUAGCACAAAAGUUACUGUCUAUGGGGAGCUCAAUCAUCCCAUCUAUUCUGUCAAUUCAGUCCCAAUCAUCGAGGAAUUAGAUGGAGCCACUUUCCAUACCUUGGAGAUUAUACAAGCUACAAGGAUAGUUGAGAAAAAAGAUCCAGCUGAAAGGAAAAUGUCGAGUGCUAAAAAGAUGGUGGCAUCGUAGAUGUUGAAAUAUGGGUAUCAGCCUAAGAUAGGGCUAGGAUCGAGAGCCGAUCGUAUGGUCGAGCCAAUCCAGCUAAAACAUCAAAAAGGUACUAGAGGUCUUGGAUAUGAGCCCAUUUCUGGAGGAGGCUGCAGUGAAGGAUUUGGAAUGAAGGUAUUUGUGCCAACCAAAGUCCCAAUUUCAGGGAAAACAGUUGACGAAGAUAUCAUAGAAGGGAUAGGAAAUCUAUUUGUGGCCGUUAUUGAAGAAGAAUCGGUGAUAGAUUUCAAAAAGCUUACCAUCCGGGACGUUGAACCUGGAGAAGUCCUGCAGAAUUGGACUAUUAGCCCAUUCCUAUUCCGUCAGGAGUAUUGGUAGUGCGGAAUUGUUGUUGCUUUUAAAAAAAAAUAUUUGAGGCUUGAACCAUGCCGAAGCUCUUUCUGGUACUUGCCUUUUGCCAAAGCCUAGUACUUUUAUUAAUAAAAGUUAUUAUUUUCAAAACCUAUGUUUAUUAUUUUCAAAACCUAUUUUUCUAUUUUUAAUAUAUAUUUUCUUUACUCGCUUUUUAUACUUUUCAGCGCAAAUAUUAAUAAAAAUCCUCGUCCCACGAUUAUGACAUGUAACAAAUCCAUUGAGCAAAAUGUAAGCGAAGAGAAAGAUUACGAGAAGUACAAUGAGAGCAUGAUGCCUAAAAACCUACCGCAGGAGAUCGAGCAACUUGAUAGUCAGAAGAAGCCUAAUAUGGACGAAACUAAAGUCGUCAAUUUGGGUAAUGAAGAAAUAGUAAAGGAAACGCGAGUCAGCAUACACUUGGAGGGUGAAAAUAAACAGGGAUUAAUAAGUCUGCUCAAGCAAUACAUUUAUGUAUUUGCUUGGUAUUACGAAGACAUGCCUAGUUUAAGCACUGAUAUCAUCUCGCAUCGAUUGCUGACUAACCCUGCAUGUCCGCCCAUGAAGAAAAAGACGAGGAAAUUCAAACCCAACUUGAGUUUGAAAAUCAAGAAAUAGGUGACCAAGAAGAUAGAAGCUAACAUCAUAAGGGUCACAACUUAUCCCAUCUGGUUGGUCAACAUCGUGCCAGUACCGACGAAGGAUGGAAAGAUAAGAAUAUGCGUGGAUUAUCGAUGUCUCAACAAGUCUAGUUCAAAGGAUGAUUAUCCUCUCCUGAAUAUUCACAUUCUUAUUAAUAAUUGCGCAAAACAUGAGUUACAAUCAUUUGUUAAUUGUUUUAUGGGAUAUCAUCAAAUCCUGAUGGACGAGGACGAUGCAAAAAAGACAACCUUUAUCACUCUAUGGGGAGUAUACUGCUACAGGGUAAUGCCAUUUGGACUCAAGAAUGUCAGUGCAACAUAUAUGAGAGCCAUGACCACUCUUUUUCAUGAUAUUAUCCACAAAGAGAUCGAGUUGUAUAUGGAUGAUGUCGUUAUUAAGUCCAAAAGGAGUUUAGAUCACCUGGAUGACUUACAAAAGUUCUUUGAAAGGCUAUGAAGGUACGACCUAAAGUUGAAUCCAACCAAGUGCACCUUUGGAGUUCCUGCAGAAAAGUUAUUGGGAUUCAUUGUUAGUAGGAGAGGUAUAGAGUUGGAUUCAUCCAAGAUAAAAGCAAUCCAAGACUUACCACCUCUUAAAACUAAAAAACAUGUAAUGAGCUUCUUGGGAAGUCUCAAUUACAUCAGUCGGUUCAUAGCCCAGUCCACGAUAAUUUGUGAACCAAUAUUCAAGUUAUUGAAGAAGGAUUCCACCACUAGAUGGACUGAAGAAUGUCAAAAGGCUUUUGACAAAAUCAAGGAGUAUUUGCCUAACCCACCAGUAUUGGUUCUACCAAAAUUGGGAAAGACCUUGCUGUUUUAUUUAUCUAUUAUGGAUAAUACAUUUAGGUGUCUGUUAGGGUAGCCUGAUGAUACUGGGAGGAAAGAGCAAGCCAUUUACUACCUGAGUAAGAAGUUCACAUCGUAUGAAGCAAGGUAUACAUUGUUAGAGCGAACUUGUUGUGCAUUGACUUGGGUUGCACAAAAGUUGAGGCACCACCUGUCUGCAUAUACCACGUACUUGAUUUCAAGAAUAGAUACACUCAAGUACAUCUUUCAGAAGCCAAUGCCUACUGGAAAAUUGGCAAAAUGGCAGAUUUUGUUGAGUGAGUUUGACAUUGUGUACGUAACAUAAAAAGCCAUCAAAGGACAAGUUUUGGCUGAUCACCUAGCAGAAAAUAUAGUGGAUCGAGAUAACAUGCCACUCAAUACUUACUUUCCUAAUGAAGAGGUGUUGUUUGUAGGAGAAGAUAUCUCAGAACCAUAUGAUGGAUGGAGAAUAUUCUUCGAUGGAGCAGCAAACUUUGAAAGAGUCAGAAUUGGAGCUGUUUUAGUUUCGAAAAUAGGUCAACAUUACCCUAUCUUGGCAAAGAUUAGGUUCCCUUACACGACUAAUAUGACAGAAUAUGAGGCUUGCAUCCUCAGACUUAGGAUGGCAGUAGACAUGGACAUCAAGAAGCUAUUGGUGAUAGGAUAUUCAGAUGUAGUGAUCCAUCAGGUGCAAGAAGAAUGGACCACCAAGAAUGUCAAAAUCCUUCCUUAUGUACAAUGUGUUAAGGGGCUGAGCAAAAGGUUUACGAAGAUUAAAUUCAAACACGUCCCUCGAAUUCAAAAUGAGUUUGUCGAAGCCUUGGUGAUAAUAUCCUCAAUGAUAUUGCAUCUGGAUAAGAAUUACAUUGAUCCCAUCAAGGUGGAGAUACACAACCAACAAGUAUACUAUUUCUAUGUAGAUGAAGACCCAGUUGGAAAACCAUGGUACUAUGACGUCAAGAGGCUACUCGAAGCAGAGGAAUAUCCAGAAGGCGCUAUCGGCAAACAGAAGAGGACUUUAAAAAAGAUGGCCAAUAACUUCUUUCUUAACAAGUAAAUCCUGUAUUGGAGAACUCCAGAGUUGGGAUUGUUAUGAUGCAUUGAUGCCACGAAGGACAUAAGACUGUUAGAGGAGAUACACAUGGGGAUAUGUGGACCUCACAUGAAUGGUUUCAUGCUUACAAAGAAGAUCUUGAGAUCUGGAUAAUUUUGGAUGACCAUGGAGAGGGAUAGAAUUCGAUACAUGCAGAAGUGUUACCAAUGUCAAGUUCACAAAGACUUUAUACGAGUUCCGCCAAAUAAGCUCAAUGUGAUGGGUUAUCCUUGGCCGUUUGCCGCUUGGGGUAUGGAUGUUAUUGGUUCCAUAGAGCCUCCUGCAUAUAAUGGACAUCUUUUUAUCUUGGUGCUAUCGAUUACUUCAUAAAGUGGGUUGAGGCCUCAACACAUAAGGCUGUAACCAAGAAAGUGGUGGCAGAUUUUAUUCGAAACAACUUAGUCUGUCAGUUUGGAAUUCCAGAGUCAAUCAUAACAAAUAAUGGGGCUAAUCUCAAUAGCGACCUAAUAAGAGAGAUUUGUGAAAAGGUGUAAGAUCUCUUAUCGAAAUUCCAUGGCAUAUCAACCACAAAUGAAUGAAGCAGUUGAGACUGCAAAAAAGAACAUCAAGAGGAUCUUGAGGAAGAUAGUGGAUGGUAAUAGGGAAUGGCAUGAGAAGCUAUCAUAUGCUUUGCUCGGCUAUCGCACCACGAUCAGAACAUCUACUGGGGAAACUUCCUACAUGUUGGUUUAUGGGUCAGAAGCAGUGAUACCUACAGAAGUGGAAAUACCCUUAUUGAGAGUCAUCUAGGAGGUUGGUAUAGAUGAUGCUCAAUGGAUUCAUAGUAGGAUCAAGUAUUUGAUGCUCAUUGAUGAGAAGAGAUUGGAUGCGACCUGUCAUGGUCAAUUAUAUCAAAAUAAAAUGAUCAAGGCAUUCAAUAAGAAGGUCAAACCUCAUCGAUUUACACCAGGACAGUUGGAAUUGAAGAAGAUAUUCCCUCACCAAGAUGAAGCCAAAGGGAAAUUUGUGUCAAAUUGGCUAGGUCCCUAGAUAGUCCAUCGAGUACUUUCAGGAGGAGCAGUAAUACUUGCAGAGAUGGACCGCACAGUAAGCACGAAGCCGAUCAAUUCAGACGUCAUCAAGAAGUACUACAUUUGAAGACGUUAGGGAUAGUAGUUAUCUCUUUCUACUUUUGCAUUUUCUUUAACGUAAUAGAACUACAUAUUAGCCUCACUUCCCAUGGAGGGAUACGUAGGUAGCCCACAUAGGGUUUGAUUUUUCUUAGAAAACCCAAAACAUCAUCCUUUCAUGUAUUCAGAACUACGCCCGACCUGACUUUCCAUGGCAGGAUAAGUAGGCAAUCUACCUCAGAUUCGGUCCCUUCAUAUUUUACCCUUUCAUUGUACUAAACUACGGCCUAACCUGAUUCCACUUGGAUACGUAGGCAGACUGAGUCAAACCCGAUUAUUGUGUUAUUUUUACUCUAUCUUUUGUAUCGAACUACAUUAUGACCUGAUUCCUAUCCUUAGGAUACAUAGGCAGCCUAAGUCGGGCUUGGUCACUGCAUUUCAUAUUUUCAGUUUUCCAAUUGUAUUUGAACUAUGUCGUGACCUGAUUCCACUUAGAUACGUAGGCAGUCUGAGUCAAACUCGAUCUCUGUAUUUUAAUUUACUUCUCCACCCUCAAACUACGUGCAUACCUGAUUCCUAUUUUAAGGAUACGUAGGCAACCUGAAAGGUUUGGUCUCACCUUUAGGAAAAUCCUCUCUGGUCAUGGUAUAGCCUUAGAAUAUAAGAGAUCUCGCCACCAGAAUUAUCAUAGCUUUGACAGUCAGAGAAGCUCCAAUCGAAGGAUAAGGCUACAGGGGUCAUGAUCAAUAAAUGGAGGUUUAACGGAUUUCCGAAUGUGUCAUAAUCUAAAAAUGAUAAAGGAUUACUAUAUAUACGUAAUAUAUUUCCAAAACAUAUACACCUAUAUUUAUUUUUCACUAUACUUUCCAACUUUCCCACCUACUGAGACUUCGGUCUUGAGAUUGAUCGAGCAACCGUGGGAGUGUUGGAGAAUUCCGUAAACAAAGAUAGGAUCCCCAAGUCAACACAAAUCAAUAUCCCCUCCCAACUAAGAAUUUUUCUUUAAGCGCAGGAAAAUAGGAAUCGAAAGACGACAUCAAGUCAAACUUUGCAACAGGAUCGAGAACAUCAUGCAGCUUAUCACCACAACAUGAGCCAAAUAUUCUUCCCAUACUUUAUUCUUUUUACAUAUAUUUAUACUAAUCCUCACAUGCUUUAAGAGUUUUAUUCAAAUUCUUUUGCAGGUACAUUCUAAAACCCCGAGUUGGAAACAAAGAAAAGAGAAUCCUGAUAAGAAGAUUAGGUUAUUUACUUCUCCCAAUAAAGUCCACAAGUCGGAACCAACCACCUGACUAUGCCGAAUAACUCCACAAAUCGAAGGGUGUCAUCUGACUUCAACAUAGUCAUGAUUUUGCGAGCCAAGGACUAUGCAUAAACAAAUAAAAGUUGAGUUUUCACAUUUCGAGGAUUGUAUAUAAGCAAACAAAAGUCGAGCUUUCAUAUUUCGGGGACUGUAUAUAAGCAAACAAAAGUCAAGCUUUCAUGUUUUGGGAACUGUAUAUAAGCAAAUAAAAGUUGAGCUUUCGUGUUUCGAGGACUGUAUAUAAGCAAACAAAAAUUGAGCAUUCGUAUUCCAAGGACUGUAUUUAAGCAAACAAAGUUGAUAUUUCAUAUUUUGAGGACUGUAUAUAAGCAAAAAAAGUCAAGCUUUUGAGUUUUGAGGACUAUACAUAAGCAAACAAAGUCGGGAUUCAUAUUCUGAAGAUUGUACAUAAGCAAGCAAAGUGGAAAUCCACUGUAGGAGGCUUUACUUUUCGAGCACUGCUCGCCUGUCGGAUGGCAUUUACUAUUAGCAAUUGCUCAACCGACGGAGGCUAUUUAUAUUUCAGCAAACGGAGGCUAUUUAUAUUUUAGUUCCUACUCAGCCGACAGAGGCUAUUUACAUUUUAGUAGAUGCUUAGCCGAUGGAGGCUAUUUAUAUUUCAGCUGACGGAGGCUAUUUACAUUUCUAUUACUACUCAGCCAACGGAGGCUUUUUACUUUCAAGCAACUACUCAGCCGACGGAGGCUAUUUACAUUUCAGUUAUUGCCACGCCAGUCAGAGGCCUCCACAAACGGAGACAAUACUAGUUUGAAUAUCUGAACUCCACUUUUUACAUUACAGUUUCAAUUUACAACUUUUGAACAAAUAGGUAUUUUUCAACUCUUUUACUUGUUUUGCAAGAACAUACAGUGCAACGUGGAACUACCAUCUUAGAAGCAAACUGGGGCAAGCUAGUGGAAUGUCAAGCAUCCCUAGCUACUGUAACACCCCAGAAAAUGGGUCCCAGAGCAUCACACGGUGCUUGAGGCUACGAGUAGCCCCAAGCUAACCCUUUGAGCCAUUUUCAUUCAGUUUAACACAAAUCAACGGGGUUUCCAUAAAUAAUCCUCAAAUAUCAACAGAGUAAUCAUCAUCUAAGAAUAAAAGAAUUUUAGAAAGAUUAAAAAAUACGACUUAUUAGUCAACUCCCAACAACUAUACUAGUCUGACAAGCCUCUAAGAAAAUAAAUAAAACCAGCNNNNNNNNNNNNNNNNNNNNNNNNNNNNNNNNNNNNNNNNNNNNNNNNNNNNNNNNNNNNNNNNNNNNNNNNNNNNNNNNNNNNNNNNNNNNNNNNNNNNNNNNNNNNNNNNNNNNNNNNNNNNNNNNNNNNNNNNNNNNNNNNNNNNNNNNNNNNNNNNNNNNNNNNNNNNNNNNNNNNNNNNNNNNNNNNNNNNNNNNNNNNNNNNNNNNNNNNNNNNNNNNNNNNNNNNNNNNNNNNNNNNNNNNNNNNNNNNNNNNNNNNNNNNNNNNNNNNNNNNNNNNNNNNNNNNNNNNNNNNNNNNNNNNNNNNNNNNNNNNNNNNNNNNNNNNNNNNNNNNNNNNNNNNNNNNNNNNNNNNNNNNNNNNNNNNNNNNNNNNNNNNNNNNNNNNNNNNNNNNNNNNNNNNNNNNNNNNNNNNNNNNNNNNNNNNNNNNNNNNNNNNNNNNNNNNNNNNNNNNNNNNNNNNNNNNNNNNNNNNNNNNNNNNNNNNNNNNNNNNNNNNNNNNNNNNNNNNNNNNNNNNNNNNNNNNNNNNNNNNNNNNNNNNNNNNNNNNNNNNNNNNNNNNNNNNNNNNNNNNNNNNNNNNNNNNNNNNNNNNNNNNNNNNNNNNNNNNNNNNNNNNNNNNNNNNNNNNNNNNNNNNNNNNNNNNNNNNNNNNNNNNNNNNNNNNNNNNNNNNNNNNNNNNNNNNNNNNNNNNNNNNNNNNNNNNNNNNNNNNNNNNNNNNNNNNNNNNNNNNNNNNNNNNNNNNNNNNNNNNNNNNNNNNNNNNNNNNNNNNNNNNNNNNNNNNNNNNNNNNNNNNNNNNNNNNNNNNNNNNNNNNNNNNNNNNNNNNNNNNNNNNNNNNNNNNNNNNNNNNNNNNNNNNNNNNNNNNNNNNNNNNNNNNNNNNNNNNNNNNNNNNNNNNNNNNNNNNNNNNNNNNNNNNNNNNNNNNNNNNNNNNNNNNNNNNNNNNNNNNNNNNNNNNAAUUUCCAAUGGGGAUUCACGACCCAAAUAUCAAAAUCAUGAUAAAUAUCGUUCAAGAUUCAUGCUUUAUAUCUCCACACAUGUAAAUUCAUCUUUCAAAAUCAUAAACAUCAAGAUUUCAUACCUUGAAUGAUGAACUUUAGAUCGAUACUUUUUUUUGAGAUGUUAAUCGUGCCUUUGAAUGAUUGUUCUUGGAGUUCUUGAACUAGGAACUUGGAAUCUUGAAUAAAUUUGCAGAAUUAAUGGUGAACUUUGGAGGUUCUUGAAGAUGGAUGUAGGAGCUUAGGGUUUUUUAGGGAAUUUGAUGAAAUAUAACAUAUAAUGCUUCUAAUAAGCUUUAAUAUAGGGUUUGGACGGAUUUUGGGUGAGGGGGAACGACCAAAAUGCCCCUAAAAAUUAAAUAAUUUUCAAAUCUGUCCUUUCGUGGACUGUUUUGAUAGUCUGAAGUAGAUCAACCAUAACAUUUUACUCCGAUAUUCAAAUUGGAUGAAACUAAUUUCAUUAGAAAGAGGACUCUCAUAUAUUUCUGUUGAUAUAUAGUAUCUCACCCAUAUCAUUGUGUACAAGAAGUUAUGAUCCUUUGAAGUUGAAUCAAAAAUUCGCUUUUGAUAGGUUGAAGUAGAUCGACUAUAACUUUUUGUUCCGAUAGACAAAUUGGAUGAAACCAAUUUCAUUGAAAAGAGGACUCGCAGAGCUUUCCGUUGAAAUAUAGUAGAUCACCCAGAUCAUUAUGUACAAGUAUUUAUGAUCGUUUAAAGUUGGAGCAAAAAUACGUCAGGCCUCAGUACCUUUUUCCUGCAGGUUUUACUGUUCACUGCUAUUCAUGGUUCGAUCGGAAUGUUCAUAACUCAUCCCUCGGGUGUCCGUUUUGGAUGAUCCAUAUAUCGUUGUAAAUCUUAUUCAAUACUCUACGCAAUAGUGGGUCAUAAUAUAAGACAUUCCACACAAAAAAAUUAUAAUUCAUUCUAGAAGAUAGAACCCAAUACGUUUACACACAAAAUUUCAACAAAAAAAUUUCCGGGGUAUUACAGGUACGUCAAGGAUUUCAGCGAAGAAAAUCAACUCAACUCGACUCAAAACUCUGAUUUUUAUAAUUUUUAGUUAUCACCAAAUGUCGUCUUAAUUCGACACUGGGGUAAGUUUGAAAAUCCGCAAUCUCCUUUUUCCUUAAAAUCCUCAGCAAAUAUUGCUAUGCAGCGAUAUCCCAUUCCCAGUUAUCUCAAACAACUAAUUCAGGGUUAAGUGCGCCUGUAUUCAUUUCAUUCGUGCUAAAAUCUUUGUUGUCAUCCUCGAAGGAACCUAGUGUCACCAUAAUUCUACACUAGGGCAAAAUUUUGAUAUUUAUCAAAAUUUUGUUCGAACUACAAAUGGCCUGACAUCUCGUAAAACCCGAGAUAUGUAGGCAGCUCAAAAACCAGAGCCCGUGCAUAAUCUUCCAAAUAUUUUAUUUUGCCCGAGACAAAAUUGGUUACGUCAAUGUGAUUGCCCAAAGAUUUUCACAUAAAUCUUUGUCCACUCAGGUGCAACUGUUAACACCUAAUUUUGACUCGCUCUUUUCCUCUAAUUAAUUUUAUUGAUGUGCUUGGCCCUAAAUAAUUUUUACAAAAUAAAAAUAAUAAGGUUCGUAUUUUUAUCUCUAUUGCUACAAAAUUUUAAAUAAGAGGAAAUUUAUUUUUAUCAUAUCAUAAGAUUAUUUUAAUUAAAUAUAAUCAAGUAUUUUUACAUCAAAAUCACAAAAAAUAUCUUGCGGUAAUCGCAUACACAUUCUUUCUAAUUUUAUCCUUUAGGCGAUAUUGUGAUCAUAUAUAUAUAUAUAUAUAUAUAUGCAUAUUUUUUUAUGUAAAAUAAAUAUUCUAUUUUAUAUUAUAUAUUCUUAUAUAUAUUAUUAAUAUUAAAUUUAAAGAAAAAAAGAUAUUUAAAUUAUAUGCUUAUACAUGUUACGCCUGUAAUUUAUAUACAUUUAAAGCAAAAAUAAUUUUAGGAUAGCAUGGAGCAUCGAUAAAAUUAAUUUCAGUGGAAAAGAGUAUUCAGGCCAACAAUCCAGUUUUAAUUUUCUUUCACCCGACUAGCACAGACUAAUUUAGUUCGUUAAUUCUUCUUCCCAAUCCGAGGGUCCUAAUUUUUAAUUGUUUAUAUAUAUAUUAAUAUUAUAAUUUUUUUUUAUUUUAAAUUCAGACUGUUCCGAUCAAAAUCGAACAGGUCAAAAAUAAAUAAUUUUAAAUCAACAUUUUCCUUAAAUUUAUCCAUAUAUAUAUACAUAUGGAUAUUUAUACUUUUUUUUAUAUUAAUUAUAAGAUAUUUACUUUUAACCAUCCGAUCAAAUGAUCGGACAAACCAUAUUCUGAUCAACAACCAGUACAACAAACACCUAUUCUCUUUGAAAAAAAAAAGACCAAGCACGUGCCUCUUACCAAAAGAAAAGAAAAGUAGUAUUGCAUCUUAUCCCUUUCCUUAAUAAAUGAGAUCUUCUUCCUCUUCUUUCUCUUAUCUCAUCUCCACCACCCCACCUCCAACCCCAAUAAAACUCAACCACUGCCUACAUCUCCCAUCUUCCCACCCCAAAAAUCCACCAAACAGUGAUGGCAAUCAAUCGAAGUCAUCUAAGUCAAAUAACCCAGAUCUUAUCCCUGCAAAGUCCUAUCUCUCACUUCAAAUCCAUUAAAUCUUGUCAGCGUGAAUCCCUCCUUUUCUCGUUUCUAUGGCUUGAGGGCUCAAAAGUCUCACCCUCUCCACUGUUAACUUAGAGGAGAGGAUAACAAGUUCAUGUUCAUCCGUCAUGACUUUCAAAUCAUCUUAAAAAAAGGUAAAUCCCUAUCUUUACUCUAUUUUCUUUCAAAAACCUAUGGAUUGUCCCAUCAACA
rnacentral:lncRNA from 1 species